rnacentral:lncRNA from 1 species
CACUUUUGUUACUGUGCAAGGCACUGUCUGGGGCACCAAUGACAGUGCCAUGGACAAUGCCUUGCACUGUCUAUGGCACUAACAUUUUGUUGCCUUGCACGUCUUCUUUUAUCGCUCCAUUUUGUAGCUGUGAGGUACCAUUUCAUGAAAGAAUUUCUCCAUUUCAUGUCCAAGCAUUCCUACACAUGAAAUACGCUCUAUUUAAAGGCAAUUGUCGCACAAAUUAACAUCCAAACAACAAGCAAAUACUGUCAAAAUAUAUGGAAUUAUCUCACGACAUCAACACCCCACACUUAAAUGUUGCUCUCCCUCGAAUCAACCAACCAAACACUUCAUCAUCAAGGACCCAACAAGCUACACAUUUACAACACACUAUGCUUAUGACCAUGGUUAAUAGCAACAAUUAAGCUCUAGCAUGUGCUGUUAAAAUACUCUUCCCAUACUUAUGCCCAAUUUUAAAACAUCCAAUACAGGAUCAAUAUGAUUACAACAAUCCUAGCCUCAAAAACUUACUCAAUGUCACAAUGCACUCGAGGCUUGAAUACUUAAUCUAACAUAGAGGUCUAAUAACGUUACCUAUCCUUUGUGAAACCAUGUGCCCUCACAAUAAAACAAAGAGUAAGCAGUCCACACAUCCAAAUCACAUGAUCGAAUAUAAUUUAAGGACUCACACAUAUGAAGAAAAGGCACACACUCUCUCAAAGAAGUCACAUGCACGCAAAACAUACCAGAGGCUUGCCCAUUAUGUAAACCUCUACUAAUGUAGGCUCACUCGGUCCGAAAUCAACUAGGACUUUAUUAUGGUUGUAAUGUGGGCUAAAGGAUGGGUAGGAUAUAUUUAGAGUAUAGUGGCGAACCCUUCAAAGCAUUUUAACACAUCAUGUAUUCAACUUUGAGGCUGGGGAUUUGGGUGUCGAUUUGGUGUUAGAUUUUGAUAAAUUUGGUAUGGUUGGAAUCGUGGUGGAAUGGGCUUCCAGGUUUUGUGACUUUUGUUGGAUUCCGAGAUGUGGGCUCGGGGGCCGACUUUUGAGUUGGCUUUUUACUUUUAAAUUAAGAACUUAGUAAUUUCAUAUGGAAUUGGUUCCUUUAGAUCGUGUUGAUUGUAUCGAACUGUUUGUGGCUAGAUUUGAGGCAUUUGAAGACCGUUUCGCGAGGCAAGGACUUGUUGGAGUAGAGUUUCGUACAAAUUGAGGUAAGUAACACUUUUAAACUUGGUUCUAAGGGUAUAGAGCCCCGAAUUUUGUGUUAUGCGAUUGGUGUGAGGUGACACAUGUGCUAGGUGACAGGCAUAUAGGCGUGCACUGUAGGAAAUGUGACUUGGUCGACUCCAUGGAACUGAAUAAUUGAUUUAGCUUGCUAUUACCCAUAUUCUCUUCAUUUGAUAGAAUAAUUGAGUUGUCGGUCAUGCUAGAAAUCUUGUUUAAGUUACAUGUUGAACUAUUUUGCUUAACCUGUCAUUUUAUACUCAGUCAUAGUGAUUGUUUGCAUAAUAUGUCUCAGUCUCUGUUGUGCUUAUUUGCUACGUAAUAUCAUUAUUGUUUGGGCUGAAUAGCAUAAUUUAGGUGAGCUUAAGAGAUUGGAGAGAUUAGUGAUUGAGUGAGACUGAAGGUCUAUUGUGAGUUAUAUUAAUGGGAUCAAGCUGCACGCCACAACAGACUUUAAUGAUUGAUGCUAGGAUUUGGAAUAUUAUAGUGCUUGGGCUGGAUCGGCCCCUCCAGAGUCUGCACAUCCACAGUGGGCGCAAUGCUAGCAAUUAUUUACAUUUAGGCUAGAUCUGCCCUAGUUUAUUGCAUUCGGCAUGGACCUGCCCUGGGCUGGAUCUGCCCUGUUAUGUGUUAAUUUUUGUUGUAAAAUCUAAAAGCAUGUCUAAAUUCUUGUACCUUCACUUGUAGACUAUGAAUUUUUGAGAUAUCACUGUCAUAUUUUUUGUAACUUUUCGUACUCUUAAAUGUUUAAAGCGGACCAAAAUAAUUAGACUCGUCACUACUUUCAGUCCAAAAGUUAGAUGUUUUACUUAUUGAGUUGGUUGUACUCACGGCACACUCUGCACAUCAUGUGUAGAUCCAAGUGCUUCCGGUCACGGCGGUUGUUUAUUUGCAGAGUCCAGACCUUCGGAGGCCAUCGAGAUAGUUGCUUGGAAUCCGCACACGUUGACUCUCCUCCCUUAUCUUUCAGUUUGUUAUUCAGUCUUACUUUCUAGAUAGUGUACCAGACUAUGUCUUUAUGUAGCUGCUCAUGUACUCAGUGAUACCCCGAUUUUGGGAAGAAUUUAUGUAUUGAGUUAUGAUUUCCUAUCAUGUUUUAAGAGAUUUUUCCUUUAUUUAAACUGUGUUAGUAUCUUUCAAAGAUUUAAAUUGUUUUAAAUGUCUGAGUAGUCAGCUUGCCUAGUACUGUGAUAGGCGUCGUUACGAUGGGUUGGUUUUGGGUCGUGACAGAAGCAAAGCAGUGACAAUAAGUAGUAACAACAACAAGAUAUCAAGAAAAUGGACAAGAAAGACAACAAUCAAAUGGUAAGUAGUAAUAAUAAUCGAAGAAUCAAAGUAUCAUACUAACAUUAAUACUACUGGUAUGUGAUGAGCUUAAAAUUAUUCGACAUUUAUGCCCUCUUUGUGUCCUUGAUUUGGUUGAUUUGAUAGAGAUUUAGUCUGAUUAUGGUCUAAUGUGUUGCAUUUCAGUGCAGGUGGUGCAGAGGGGAUCAAUGGACAAAUAGUGCACAAAGUGGGAGGAAAAUAAGCUGAUAAAGGAGGAAAUUCUCAUGCACGGCCGCACUCGAGCAGUCCCAAAUGCGCAUUUGAGCGCGCAAAUCUCACAGAAAAACUGGUAGAUGUGCACGGUCAUAUGUGCGCCAAGACACCCAGAUGCGCGACCGCGCAUGUCUGUCUCCGCGAAUUUUUGUCAAGCCUAUUUUUAUAAAUUGGGAGGCAUCCUUUUGACCUAUAUGACGCCUAAGCUCAUCACAAAACAGGGCAUCUUAGAUUUUUGGAGUGACCUUUGGAGGAAAAAAGCAAGGAACAACAUGGACUUUUGAAUACUUUAUCUGAAUCAUUCAAUACGAAAGUUUAUUUGAAUUCAUGGGUUGUAAUAUUUUCUUGUCAUCUUAUUACUCUUCUGAUGAACAAUUUUUCUAUUAUGGAGUAGUCCUUCUUAGGUUUAUUGAUAGAUAUUGUGAAUUGAUUAUUAUUCAAGGGUUUGAUUGCUGUUAGUUGCUUGAAUUUGUUGAACAAGUUUUGAAUUAGUUUACAAAGUUACUGGGGAUUUCACUUUAAUCAGAAGAAAAGUGCACUUCAAUAGUCAUUGUGUUAUCUUGUUUGGGUUAAUUUCACGACUCUCAUAGGUAAUCGAAAGAUCUUGUAGAUUUAUCAAUUUAUCCAAUUUAGAGGAAUAGUGGAGAGACGUUCCUUGUAAGAACAUUCAUUGAACGUAUUCGUGCAUACGUUCAUAGAACUUGUCAUUAGGUUGUUUAACAGAACUCUCAUUCAUUCGGAAGAAGAAUUUGAAUCCUUAAUAUAGCCUAAUCAUCUGUUGAAAUCAAAAGAGUCAAUAGAAUUUGAGAGUGAACUUAGCACAAAGUUAUCCUGAAUAAUAGUUGAUCACAUAUCUUGUCAAGCCCUUAUUUCUCACAUUGAUAUUCGAUCGUUGCUACUUAGUCACCCAAUUUCCAUUAUUCAUUCACAAUUGAUAACUUAGUUUUUACUCUUAGUUCGUUAAUAACUCAAAAUCAAAGAUUUAUUUUCCUGAAUAGUGUUAAGCUUGUCACACCUCCUUUUUCUACCACCGAAGGGGUAUAUAAGGGAGUUUGUCCAAUUUACGUGACAAUCGAAACGAGAUUAUUUAUUUAGAAAUCAGAGUCGCCACUUGGGAUAAUUUAUGGUGUCCCAAGUCACUGGUUUAAAUCUCGAAUCGAGGAAAAAAUUGACUCUGUUUUACAAUCCACGAACACAGAAAUCCGGGUAAGGAAUUCUGUUAACCCAGGAGAAGGUGUUAGGCAUUCUCGAGUUCCAUGGUUCUAGCAUGGUCGCUCAACUGUUAUUAUUGGCCUAAUUAUCUGAUUUUAAAAUACUUUUAAGCCUAUGUGUAUUUUUUAACUUUCUAACCGCUUUUAGUAUUUCAGGAAAAUUCAAGGUUAUUUAAAAAACAUCAAAGGCCACGUUACAUGAAAUGCACCCGCGGUUCACGACACAUUCUAUUUAACCUUGUUGGAAAUUAGAAUCGGGUCACAUGAAAUAUACACCCGGAUUUUGUAAUUAAAAAUCACAACUACGUCACGAAAUCGUACCCGUAGAAAUGGAAAUUAUUUAAUUAACGCGCCUAAAGCAAACUACGAAAGUUCAAGGCAUUUUUUUAUACUAGUUUUUGUAUUUAUGUGAUGGCCAUACAUUAUGGAUUUUGUUUGCGUAUGCACACCUCAAUUAUUUUUUUUUAAAAAAAAGAAUUAUUUCAUUAAGGUAAACUAAAGAUACUGCUACUUUAAUCUAAUUUAAAAUUAAAUAUCACGACCACGUCACGGGAACCGUACCCGUAGUCACGAUGAUGAUUUAUUUUCGUGCCUAAAGGUUCGCCUACCCGGAUGUGGUGGCCUAAGUAUGAUCUUAUGACCAAUUAAGAGAAUAAAAGUAAUAAAUUCCAACUUUCUUUCAUUUAAUGACAAAGCUCGUGGCCACAUAUUAUUAAAAGUUUUUCUAAACCAAUACAACCAUUCAAUUGAAGCGAAGCAUCCAAUCCUAGUAGACCAAAUGAAACGAAAUGAUUAUAAGAAAUCAAACCCCAGUUGACCCAGUGUAUUAAUUCAAAUGAUUAUCAUCCAAGCAAAUGUAUGGUUUCUGGAAAUUUCAAUAUAGAGAUAGGAACAAAACUUAUUAAAAUUCAAUCCACUUUAAUCAUAGAAAUCCGCAUCGUCAUAAUCAAACCAACAAGGGAAAGCUAACUACUGCAGAUUAAUAAACAUAAUGAUGAAGUAUGCAAUGAUUUCACAUUCUAACUUGAAUAAAGACGAGCAACAAAUCACCGUACUUAAGGUUUUCACAUAUCCUUUUCAUACUAAAGUCAUAUCAAUAAUAGAAUAAUAGGGAAAUCGAUAAUGAACCUGGACUGAAAUUCUUCUUAGUAACAGUAGAGGAAUGAGCAUAUACAAUGUUUUGCUCCCAAAUUUAAACUGAGAACAAAGCAAUUGAGCAAAAACGCGAGCCAAACCACGAACCUCAGACGAAAACUCCAAUCGGCAUCAGAAUGAACUCAAUUAAACCCCGUCGAUCCCAUGGAAAAAAAGGGAGUGGCGAUGAGAGGGGACCAUUAUGGUGGUGGAAGAGCUCGACGAUAGUGAGGCGCGGCUGGGUUCUCUGAGGGGGUUGGUUUCCGGCGAAGCAACGGUUGCUGGUGUGGGCUCCGCUGGAGAUGAGGAAAGGGGGGUCGUUUGGAGAAGACGAAGUCAGGGGGUGGGGUCAUUUAUGGUUGCGGCGAAUCUGUUUUGUCUCUUAGGUCUUGGUGUAUUUUUUUUUUUGCUAUUUCAGCUUCUUCUUCUUCUUCUUUUUUCAGGCGUUAGGUGUUAGCCUAUAUAUGUAGGUCCUAGAGUCUAGGUUUAUAUUUUGUGUAUUUGCUCUUAGGUCUUUAGGGUCUUUUUAUUUAUUUAUUUAUUCCAAAGAAGAGUCUAGAAGGGUCCCUAGGAUUAGCUUAAUGGGUAUUGGGCUUAAGGAAUAGGCUAGACACUUGGGCCUUUAUGACUAGCUAUGCUUAGAAUUAGCUUAAUUAACUAAAAAUCUAUCCAUAUAGAAAUUUUAUCAAAAAUAUUAAUUAGCCCUACUUAAGUAAAAAUAAUUAUUAAAAUAAGACUGACUGUUAAAACAAAAUUAUUUAUUGGUAUUUUUCAAGAUUAAAAAUGACUAUAAAACAUUAAUGAACCUAUUUUUGUAAUUUUCGUUUUCUUGUAAUAAAAUAAAAGUAAAAGAGUAAAAUGAGUUGAAAUAACUAUAUUAGGCCUAAAUUAAAUAUUUACAUGCUAAAAUAUUUAAAAUCUUGAGGAGGGUCAAAAAUCACAUGUCUACAGCUGCCCCUCUUUGACUGGAAACACGAAGUAUUUUCAGACAAAGAACGACCAGACAGGUUUUUGGACCCGACCCUUAUUUGGAGAGACUAAAACUAAGAGAAAGGGGAAUUUGACCGAGCCCUUGUAUCUAAGCUGCCUACAUAUCCUUGGCUAUAAAAGAAUCAGGCCACAUGUAGUUCAGAAGUGAGUGAGAUGAUGGAGUAUGCCGAGGUGGAGAGCCAGUCGAGGUGCCGUUCCGCCGAGGUUCCGGUCCGCGGUCCUGAUGNNNNNNNNNNNNNNNNNNNNNNNNNNNNNNNNNNNNNNNNNNNNNNNNNNNNNNNNNNNNNNNNNNNNNNNNNNNNNNNNNNNNNNNNNNNNNNNNNNNNNNNNNNNNNNNNNNNNNNNNNNNNNNNNNNNNNNNNNNNNNNNNNNNNNNNNNNNNNNNNNNNNNNNNNNNNNNNNNNNNNNNNNNNNNNNNNNNNNNNNNNNNNNNNNNNNNNNNNNNNNNNNNNNNNNNNNNNNNNNNNNNNNNNNNNNNNNNNNNNNNNNNNNNNNNNNNNNNNNNNNNNNNNNNNNNNNNNNNNNNNNNNNNNNNNNNNNNNNNNNNNNNNNNNNNNNNNNNNNNNNNNNNNNNNNNNNNNNNNNNNNNNNNNNNNNNNNNNNNNNNNNNNNNNNNNNNNNNNNNNNNNNNNNNNNNNNNNNNNNNNNNNNNNNNNNNNNNNNNNNNNNNNNNNNNNNNNNNNNNNNNNNNNNNNNNNNNNNNNNNNNNNNNNNNNNNNNNNNNNNNNNNNNNNNNNNNNNNNNNNNNNNNNNNNNAGGGGGCUCCUGAUUGCCGAACUCCUUUGAACCUUGCUGCUUCCCUUCGUUCUCCAGGUGGGCUCCUGGUUGCUGUCUUCCUUUGAACAUUGUUGCUUCCCUUCGUUCUUCAGGUGGGCUCCUGAUUACCAACACUUGCGCUGUUUUUCCUUGAAACUUGAAUUGCCUCCCUUGAAACUUGAACUGCUUCUCUUUGUUCUCUAGGUAGGCUCCUGAUUUCCAACACUUGAACUGACCCCUCUGAAACUGCUACUUGUGAACCUGAUUACAAUAAAACAAACAAACAAAAGAAAUUUUUCUGCCCCAGUUUGAUAUCGGGAACAUCUGUGAGUGUUAAUCUAAUCAUAAUACCCAAAAGCUCUAAGAAUUUAAAAGCUAAAUCCCAUUAUCCAGGAGGGUCCUGAAAAUUAAAAAUUAAAUCUCAUCUCAAGAGUGACAACUUCAAAGCUAAAUUCUAUUUCCUAAAGGUAAAAUUUACGCUAAAUCUUAUUGUCUAUGAAGGUCUUAAAAACUUAAAACUAAAUCCCAUUAUCCGGGUCCUGAGAACUUUAAAUUAAAUCAUAUUAUCCAUGAGGGUCCUGAAAAUUUUAAAUUAAGUCCCAUUAUCCAGGAGGGUCCUGAAAAGCUGAGAAUGAACUUACCUAAGCCGCGCUCUUUUCCUGGAGGAUCUAUGUAGACCGAACAAAAUUCCUUUCCCCUAAACCACUCUUUUCCUCAUGGAGGGUUCAUGUAGAUCGAAUAAAUUUUUCUUUCCCCUUCUCAAACCGCCUUUGUGCUGACAAACUUUGGGCACGACACUUGAAAAAGUUCAAACUUCCAAGCUUUGAUUUGGACACAAUUUUCGUCCCUGUUUCAAACAAAGAGAACUUAUGAGUUUAUAAAUAUGGUGGUUGGUUUGUGGCCUUGAAUUUGAGGGUGAUUUCUCCUUCACUUCCCAUGAUAACUUUGAUUUCCACUCGAAAGAUCUUGCUUUUUUAUUGACUUACUACUUUCUCUGUCACCCUUAUCACGGAAAAUACCUCUAAUCUGUUCAAACCCAAUACCAUUCAUCUGUUGCAUUGUGCUCUUGCAUUGACAUGUACUGAACCUUUGUGUUUCACAUGAAUCCCAAAGCACAUCAAUUGCCAUCCACUCAGUGCACAUGUUGUUCUUUCCUGACUUAAAACACUGGCCUUGGCCUUGAGGUCUAUUGCUCCUUCAUUUGCCAUGAUAACUGAUUUCCGCUUGGAAGACCUUCCUUGUCCCUGGUUAACCACUUCUUUUGUCAAUCUUAUCAUAGAAAAUACCUUUUAUCCGUUCACCCUUCAUCCUCGAUCUAUUGCACUGAUCAUGAAUUGACAUAUACCAAACCUUUGUAUUUCACAUGAAUCCCAAAGCACAUUGAUUGUUGCCAACUCAAUGCGCAUGUUGUUCUUUCCUGACUUAUGCCACUUUGAUGUGUUAGCCAGAUCCUAUUUUGUGCAAUUGGAAAGCGGGUGGCAAAUUGUGAAGUCAUUUCUCACUUGUUCUGACCAAACAAACUUAGGAAGAGGAAGUAAACAAAACAAAAGGAACAGAGUAAAGGACAAUGGAAAGAGAUGAUUCCUAACAAACAAAACUACAAAGCAAAAACUUAUCAGAUGUGGACACCAACUCUAAUAACCAUGACAUGCACAUGUGGCCUAAUCUGUCAAGCAAGUCUGAUGUUCAACACUUGUUAUACCCCUAAACCGUGAAACUGGGCUUCAAUGCUCCGAUUAUCCAAUCUGAUUCACAAUCCUUAUUCGACUUGUAGUGCCCGAAGGGUUUUCACUAUCAAGCCUCUCUCAUUUUGUUCUUUUUCUCAACUCAUCAUCGCCUUAUAGUGCCUGGGAAGGUUUUCACCGAUAAGACUCUCAUUUUUUUUCUUCUUUCUUCUGAUUUUGUUGAUGACAAGGCGUUGACCAUAGUAAAAACAUCAUGUGCUCCUGGCAUGUCUAAACUCAGCACUCUCAAAGAUUAUUUGGGAGGUCUUUUUUGGACUAUGAUGUGGCUUUUGGAUAGGGUUAGAAAGAAAGGAUAUCAUAAAGGCUCAAAAUUACUAAAACAACAGGGUUAAUUUAUUUACAACUUUUGGAAUCCAUUCUAAAAACUUUGCCCAAUUUCUAAAACAAUGGAAUUUGAUUCUUUUUUAUUUUGUUUUUCUUUUUUGAUGGAGUUAUUAAUAAAGACCGCCCCACAUUCGACUUCGUCGGAUUAUGAAAUAUUUUAUUUGGUAUGACCGAACCGUUAGGCUGCCUACGUAUCUUGUGGUGACAAGAAUCAGGUCAAACGUAAUUCACAAAACUACUUUUUGUAACUAUUUGCCUUUCUUUUUUCUUUCUCUCUUUUUUUUUCUUUCUUUCUCUUUUUUUCUUUUUCCUUUUUUCUCCUUUAUCUCUAUUUUUCCCUUCUUUUUUGAAUUUUCCUUUCGGAAUGAACUUUCUAAAAUAAACCUAUGGGGACAUGAACUCUUUUUUUUCGUAUGACUCUAACUUGAUUCCAAAAGAGGGGAGGUCAAAGAAAUCAGUACAGGCUCAAAAGAGUAUCGAAUGGUAUAAGUGUUUGGGUAGCUGAAAGAGGGCCUCCUAAUCGCUGAAAAUGCCAAGUACAACACAUGCAACUUGAAACGGAAAUUGAAAAUCAUGCACAAUAUUUCUUUUGCAGCUUCGACAUUGAUAUCACUGAUAUUCCUUCGACUUUUAGUUAGCGCCUUUUCAAGUACAGAAUCCUCGUUGGGUGAUUCCCUCUUCACAAUGGAUAUCUUCCAUCAAUUUGGAGAGAAAUUCCUUGACUUUAUCUUGUAACUUGAGAUGCACUUGAACUCAAAGUUGCUUGCUUCAAAUCGUCCGGUAUGCACUCUCCCUUAACGAAUUCUUGUUACCCUAUUAACUUUCCAAAUUAACUGCCCCAGUUUCACACAGUUCGGGCUUCAAAUGAACUCAAAAUAUCCAAAUCUGUACUUAUUUCCCUCAAGUGUUCCCAUCAUCUUCAAAAUUAUUUUAUUGCUUCAUGAUUAAACUAACUUUUAAGACCAGGCCUAGAAUUAUGCGUGCAUGUCAUGUCACUAGAGCCAGCAUGAAAAGAACUAUAAAAGGAAAAAAACUAAACAAAAAUGAUUAACAUAAAACAGAAAAUUGCAUUAGAUAGACGGUGAAAGGGUUUGAACAACAAGAUAAGUAAAAUAAACUGGGGUACGACCCUGGAACAAACCUAGAUAACACGAAAUGAGUUACUACGACUAAAUGAACUCGGCAAAAUAAAAGGAUAGAAGGGUUUGAUAGUCACAAGACAAUAUCCGAAUUACAACCCUGAAAUAAACCGGACAACAGAAAUGACAAUAAAAUAAACCACCAAUACUCCUCCCUGGCUAACCAAGAAAGGAGCAUCUUUUCAAUCACCAAGCUCAACAUCUUAGCCAUUGAAUUUUGCAUCAACAAUACUAGGACCUUCACAAGUCUUCAUCACAUUGUUCUUAACAAAUUGCUUUUGGGUUCCCUUUUGCCGGCUCGUUGUUAAGAUCAACCUCUGAUAGCGCUGAAAGCUUUGCAGCGCAUGGACCUCCGAGGAUCUCAGAAGAAUUCUCAUAUUCCUUUUCAAAACAAACCAUACUCACCAUAUGCGUCUCAUUACGAACAGGCGAUGGACUUUGGCUAGUGUCUGUUGCAUCUGGAUUUUGCACGACAAUGUCACCUGCAUUAAUAAGCUUAUAAAUUGCAUUUUUUAGGUGCCAACACUUUUCUGUACUAUGACCCGGGGCAUCGGAGCAAUAUGCGCACCUUUGAGAAAAAUCAAACUUCUUUGGCAGAGGGUUUGGCAUUUUUAUCUGAAUCGGCUUCAACAUAUCCAAUUGCCUCAACCUUUGGAACAAACUGGCAUAUGAUUCUCUAAUAGGGGUGAAAGCCUUUUCUUUUUUCAACAGUCUUUUCAGUUUGUAUUCUGGCCUCGGUUGGAAACUUUUGCGGGUAGGUGGCUGAUAUGCUUGAGGAGGCGGGUAAGACAUUUGUGGAAGUGGUGCAGGCCAUCGCGGGCCUCAUGGGUGUGGAGCAUAUGGUGGUGCAUUGUGGAUAGGGUACUAGGAAAGUGAUGUACGACUUUGGGGGUUACGUGGAGAGAAGUAGCAUUGGGGAGGAUCAUCUGGUGCACAAGGAGAUCCAUGGGGUCGAUGUCGAGGCUGAACGCGUUGAGUAGGAAUGCCCAGUGGAUCAUCUUUUCUAUUUCUCUUUAUUCCACCCAAACUUACUGGGAUGUUCUGAAUGUCUUCCGUAGUAUCUUUCAAUGCCGAAUAACUCAUGAUUUUGCCUGACUUGAUUCCCUUUUCUACCAUAUUCCCCGUUUUUACCACAUCAUUGAAAGGUUUACCCAAGGUCGGAAUCAAAUGACUGAAGUAGGUGGGCCCCUAAGCUUGUAGGAAAAGCUCAACCAUUUCUUCUUCACCAAUCGAGAGACUGACUCGAGAAGAUUUCUCCUUCCAUCUGAGCCCAAACUCCCUAAAGCUUUUCUCCAGUUUCUUUUCCAUCUUAGAUAGGGAGGAGCGGUCUGGGGUAAUGUCUAAUUUGUAUUGAAACUGUCGAACAAAAUCUUGAGCCAUGUUGCCCAAUGUAUGCCACUUACCGACAUAUUGACGAUUAUGCCAUUCCAAAGCUGCCCCAGUCAAGCUCUCACUGAAAUACGCAAUCAACAAAUCAUCUUUCUCGUCAGCACUACUCAUUUCCCUGCAAUAAACCCUCAGAUGGGCUACCGGAUCUCCACGGCCCUCAUACAAAUUGAACUUUGGCACUUUAAACCCCGCAGGCAGAUGAACAUCAGGGAACAUAUAAAUCUGAUUUCUCAUCCCUUGCAUGCUCCUUAAGGACUAUUCCAUACCUUUCAGCUUCCUGGAUAUCUCAUCUCGCCCUUCUUUUCCUGUGACCUUUUCAUUUUCAGCAUGAGGCUCAUUCCGAGUGCUCUCCUUGUAUGAGCUAAGAACCUUGUGGGCAACCUCUGAGAGGUAAUAUUGGGCAUCAUGAGCUCUGAGUGGGUAUUCAUUGUUGGAUAUAGUGGAUAUGACAGGAGGGCAAUUUUGGGGAAAGGUAAUUGGAGGACGAGUGAUGGAGCUACUAGGGUGGUUGGGAAAGCUGUGAUAAGCAGAACAAUCUGGAGAGUAUGGGGAAUCAUCUGGCACUAUGACCAGAGUUUGGGUAAGGGUAGCAUCUAGGAAGGUAAGUGGUGGAGGGGGUGGUGCCUUCCUAGUCAUCCAAGCCUGAUACAUGUCCGCCAUGUGUUGUCUUAACAUCCUCACCUUUUCAACUAACCCAUUGUCCUAUUCAACCAAUUGCUUUUGGGCACCCGUAUCAACCAACUCAGUUCUGUUGUCAUCUGCCAUUGCCUUUCAACUUUAUGUUGUAGAGAAGAGUUACCACUUUAAGAACCACAAACCAACCACCUUUCUGCUAUAAUGAAGAUAACAAAAGGAACAAAAUGAAGUCAUCACGUUAGCGUUAGGGCAUUUAACAUAAGAUAAUCUCAUUUUAUGUGCAAUGCACCUAGCCACAGUUACCGGUUCUAAAAUGACUUCGAGGGUACGAAGGUCAGUUGGCAUCAUCCCAAUUUGUUCAUCUCAAUCCUCUCUUUUCUUUGCUUUUCUAGCACUUGCUUGCUCAUUUUCCUUCCUUUUUUUGCUAAUUAUCACUCUCUUCUUCCUCUCAUUUUUCACAUCCCAUCAUUUCACCCCUUUUUUUCUUUUUUUUCUCUUUUUUUUUCCUUUUGUUUUUUUUUUCGUAAAAAUAAAACAUUUUGAUCGAACCCUAUAUAGGUUGCCUACUAUCAUGACGCCGCAUGAAUCAGAUCUUUGCGUACUUUGAGAAGAUCGCGAAUAGACUAAAUAAACUAACAUUCUCUUUUUUCUUUCUUUCUCUUUUUUCUACCUUAAUGACCAAUCCGAAGAGAAAGAAAAAUAAAGGAAGAAAAACUUUUUUUUUCUAGACUUAAUCUUCUAUAACCUAUUCUAAACUCAAGAUUAACGGAUUUUUUUUUCUUUUGAAACAAAUACUCUAUUAAGGAAAAAUCCUAGAAGAGAAAAAUAUUUUUUGACUUUUUUUUGUGAAGGAAAUCUAAAAAAUAAGCCAAAGAAAAACUAUUUUUAAUUUUAGUUUGAUAUCUUGAAAGAAAGAUUUCGAACCAAGAAAUAAAAAAGAUGAAAAUGUUUUUGGAUUUCAGUUUGACUACAUAUGGGAGAAACUCUGAAAAUAAACUCAGGAUAAAGUAUGUUAUUUUUUUUCUUCUAUGUACAAUGUCCUAAAGUUCUAGUAAAAUUAAAAAAGAAUUAUUUUUCAUUUUUCGUGAAUUUCUCAAAGAAGAACAUCAAAAGAAAAUAUAUUUUUUUUUGGAUUUUUGGAAUUAAUAUCUUAAAGAAAACUUUUAAAGAGGUACUAAAACUUUUUUUUUUUUUGAAUUUUUAGUCUUAAUAUACGAAAGGAAAUAUAAAAGCAAUUUAUUUUGAGUUCUAGAAAUUAAUUCAAUAAAGGAAAACCACCUCAAAUGAUUUUUAUUAUUCCUAGAAUUAGUAUUAUAAAAAAAACUUCUACCAGAAAUAUAAAAAUGUAACUUUUUUUUUUGGAUUUUUGAUUUAUAACACAUUUUCCAAAUACAAAGUAGAAAGUACAAUAACAAAAGACUCGACAUUACUGUACAAAACUAGAAAGUAAAAGAUGAUAUAAAAUGAAGAACAUACUCAAUAACACUAUGUGAGACAAUAACACUUCCUGUUAGACACAUGCAAGACAUGAUUGUGGCUGUUUUUCUAAAAUUAAUCAGUGUGGCUAAAGUGGCUAAAAAUGCAAGAUUUGGCUAAGACCCCGCAAAGCGAAGAACCUAAGAUUCACUAGGAAGACCGGACACUAUGUGGAUUGCCUAAGAAUUAGGUAUGCGUAGUUCGGGCAAAUUAGAUACGGGCAAGAAUUAAAAAACUAACUAAUUUAGAGAAAACAUAUUUUGCUUUGAAAAAUGAUGAAACAUAUAAACUCUUUUUGGAUUUUCUUUUCCUCUUUUUUUUGAUUUUUUGAUUUUCGAAAAAUGAUGAAAAAGUGCAAAAUCUUUUUGAAUUUUUCAUGUUUUUUUUUCCUUUUCUUUUAAAAAAUGUGAAAGAGAACAUAACUGGGCCCUACUUGCCUUAUUUUCAAACUUCACCCUCUCUUUUUUUUUCAUCUGCCCUCAACUAUCAUUGGUCCGCCAAAUGACCCUUUUACCCUUGAAGAAAUGCAACAUGUAGCACAUAUGAUGCAUCAGGAUGGUCUUUUAUUUUGGGGUACACUUGUCCUAGACGGACCCAACCUCUGUGUUGAGUCCCCAAAGUCAAAUGCAUAUGAUACAAACAAUAGUUCCUACUAGGGAUCUGGCAUGAGGCUGAGUUAUUCUGAGUUCAAAACCUGGGUAUGUUGUUCUAGAUUUGUGUACCCGAGCGGCCACAUCGAGCCGGGGGGGCUACGUACCGGGAACCAAAAUGCCAUCUGGCUUUGUAACUUGUCCGAGCCUCUUCCUAAUUUAAGGUAUGACACUAACAUAAGAGGAGUCACGCCAGUGUGCACAUCCCCGAAGAUGAGAAGAGAAGGGUUUCGUAGCAGUUUAUAUACAGUUCAGAUAAUAUAAAAGCGGUAAAAGCAACAUUUAGCACAUUAGGCCCAAACAUGUAAUUAAAACCAGAUAAUAAAUAAAAGCCAAAUAUAACAAUUAUUCUAAGCUCGAAUUCUUGAACCCUGAACUAGAGAUUAUGGGUUCUUGUCCCCAGCAGAGUCUCCAGAGAUGUCACACAUCCUUUUUCUACCACCGAAGGGGUAUAUAAGGGAGUUUGUCCAAUUUAAGUGACAAUCGAAACAGGAUUAUUUAUUUAGAAAUCAGAGUCACCAAUUGGGAUAAUUUAUGGUGUUCGAUGUCACCGGUUUAAAUCCCGAAUCGAGGAAAAGAUUGACUCUGUUUUACAGUCCGCAAACACAGAAAUUCGGGUAAGGAAUUCUGUUAACCCAGGAGAAGGUGUUAGGCAUUCGCGAGUUCCGUGGUUCUAGCACGGUCGCUCAACUGUUAUUAUUGGUCUAAUAAUCUGAUUUUAAAACACUUUUAAGCAUAUGUGUAUUUUUUAACUUUCUAACCGCUUUUAGUAUUUCAGGAAAAUUCAAGGUUAUUUAAAACACAUCGUAGGCCACUCUACAUGAAAUGCACCCGCGGUUCACGACACAUUCUAUUUAACCUUGUUGGAAAUUGGAAUCGGGUCACAUGAAAUGCACACUCAAAUUUUGUAAUUAAAAAUCACAGCUAUAUCAUGGGAACCAUACCCGUUGCUAUGACAAUUAUUUAAUUAACGCGCCUAAAGCAAACUACGAAAGUUCAAGGCAUUUUUUGUACUAGUUUUUGUAUUUAUGUGAGGGCCAUACAUUAUGGAUUUUGUUUGCAUAUGCACACCUCAAUUAUUUGUAAAAAAAAGAAUUAUUUCACUAAGGUAAACUAAAGAUACUCCUAUUUUAAUUUAAUUUAAAAUUAAAUAUCACCACCACGUCACGAGAAAUGUACCCGUAGUCACAAUGAUGAUUUAUUUUCAUGCCUAAAGGUUUGCCUACCCGGAUGUUGUGGCCUAAGUAUGUUCUUAGGACCAAUUAAGAGAAUAAAAGUAAUAAAUUUCAACUUUUUUUCAUUUAAUAACAAAGCUCGUGGCCACAUAUUAUUAAAAGUUUUUCUAAACCAAUACAACCCAUUCAAUUGAAGCGAAGCAUCCAAUCCUAGUAUACCAAACGAAAUGAAAUGAUUAUAAGAAAUCAAACCCCAGUUGACCCAGUGUAUUAAUUCAAAUGAAUUUCAUCCAAGCAAAUGUAUGGUUUCUGGAAAUUUCAACAGAGAGAUAGGAACAAAACUUAUUAAAAUUCAAUCCACUUUAAUCAUAGAAAUCCGCAUCGCCAUAAUCAAACCAACAAGGGAAAGCUAACUACUGUAGAUUAAUACACAUAAUGAUGAAGUAUGCAUUGAUUUCACAUUCUAACUUGAAUAAAGACGAGCAACAAAUCAUCGUGCUUAAGGUUUUCACAUAUCCUUUUCAUGCUAAAAUCAUAUCAAAAAUAGAAUAAUAGGGAAUCGACAAUGAACCUGGACUGAAAUUCUUCUUAGUAACAGUAGAGGAAUGAGCAUAUACAAUGUUUUUCUCCCAAAUUUAAACUGAGAACAACACAAUCAAGCAGAAACGCGAGCCACACCACGAACCUCAGACAAAAACUCGAAUCGGCAUCAAAACAAACUCAAUCGAACCCCGUCGAUUCCAUGGAAGAAAAGGGAGUGGCGAUGAGAGGGGGGCUGCUAUGGUGGUGGAAGAGCUCGACGACAGUGAGGCGCGACUGGGUUCUCUGAGGGGAUUGGUUUCCGACGAAGCAACGAUUGCUGGUGUGGGCUCCGCUGGAGAUGAGGAAAGGGGGGUCGUUUGGAGAAGACGAAGUCAGGGCGUGGGGUCAUUUAUGGCUGCGGCGGAUCUGUUUUUUCUCUUAGGUCUAGGUGUAUUUUUUUGCUAUUUCAGCUUUUUUUUACAGGCGUUAGGUGUUAGCCUAUAUAUGUAGGUCCUAGAGUCUAGGUUUAUAUUUUGUGUAUUUUCUUUUAGGUCCUUAGGGUCUUUUUAUUUAUUUUUGUACAAAAGAAGAGUCUAGAAGGGUCCCUAGGAUUAGCUUAAUGAGUAUUGGGUAUUGGGCUUAAGGAAUGGGCUAGAAACUUGGGCCUUUAUGACUAGAUAUGCUUAAAAUUAGCUUAAUUAACUAAAAAUCUAUCCAUAUAUAAAUAUUAUUAAAAAUAUUAAUUAUCCCUACUUAAGUAAAAAUAAUUAUUAAAAUAAGACUGACUGUUAUAACAAAAUUAUUUUUUGGUAUUUUUUCAAGAUUAAAAAUGACUACAAAACAUUAAUGAACCUAUUUUUGUAAUUUUCGUUUUCUUGUAAUAAAAGUAAAAGUAAAAGAGUACAAUGAGUUGAAAUAGCUAUAUUAGGCCUAAAUUAAAUAUUUACAUGCUAAAAUAUGUAAAAUCUUGGGGCGGGUCAAAAAUCACGUGUCUACAAAGCUGACGAUUUCUUUGAACAUUAUUUAAACCAAUUCUUGUGGAGACAAUUUAAUAACUAUACUAUCUUUGACUAGCAAGCCUAAGUUUUAUACACCGGUUUUGCGCUCGUUGAAUUUUGGCGCCGUGGAUUGGCGAUUAAUAGUGUUUAAAAUAGUUUUCGGUACUAAUUCAAGAAUCUUUUUUUUAAGUUCUUAUCUAUGUGCAGGAGAGCACUAUGGAGGAAAUAGGACAACAUUGAAGGUCAUGGAAGCCGAUUUUUACUGGCCAUCCUUGUACAAGGAAGCAAGAUCCUACGUGGCUACAUGUGACAAGUGCCAACGGACAGAUAACAUUAGUAAGAGGACGAGAUGCCCCUGAAUUCCAUUUUAGUAUGUGAAGUCUUCGAUGUCUGAGGCAUCAACUUUAUAGGUCCUUUCCCAUCGUCCCAUUCUUAUGAGUAUAUCCUAAUAGCCGUUGACUACGUUUCUAAGUGGGUCGAGGAAAUCCUUACUAGGACAAAUGAUGCUCGGGUAGUAUGUGAAUUUAUUCAUAAGAAUAUUUUCACCCAUUUUGGAACUCCCCAAGUCAUCAUCAGUGACAAUGGGUCACAUUUUGUUAAUAAAUAGUUUGCCUCACUGUUGUCUAAAUAUGGGGUGACUCAUAAAAUAAGAACUCCAUAUCAUGCUCAAACUAGUGGGCAAGUAGAAGUAGAUAACCGUGAACUCAAAAUAAUUCUAGAAAACACGGUCAGUGCUUCCAGAAAGGAUUGAUCAGUAAGGUUAGAUGAAGCUCCAUGGGCGUAUCAAACAUCGUUUAAGAUAACCAUAGGAACUUCACCUUUCAAGCUGGUACAUGAAAAGUCAUGUCACUUACUUGUGGAGAUAGAGAAUAAGGCUUAUUGGGCAAUUAAAUUGCUUAAUCUUGAUCUUAGUCUUGCAGGUGAGCACAGAAUGUCACAAAUGAAUGAGCUGGAGGAAUUCACAUUGGACGUGUAUGAGAAUGCACGAAUGUUCAAGGAAAAGACGAAGAAAUGGCAUGACCGUCUGAUUAAACCAAAAGAAUUUUAUGAAAGGGAAAAGGUCUUGAUAUACAAUAGUAGGCUCAUAUUGCUUCUCAAAAAAUUUAAGUCAAGAUGGAUGGCACCAUAUGUGGUGAAACAUGUAUCACCAUAUGGGGCGAUUGAGAUCCAAAACAUGGAAGGAACGGAGAGUUUCAAGGUGAAUAGGCACAGGUUAAAACCAUAUCUUGCUGGAGGAUUUGUUAACCAAUCCUAGAGCAUCAUAAUCAGUUAAAGGUCCCCACUCAACUGGAGACUAUAACUCAAAACUACCUCUAAUCUUUCUAAUAGUUUGAUUUUUCUUUUGUAGCUUAGGAUAGGCAAAAAUUUGGUGUACAGUGUGAGUUGGUGGUUAUGUUUGCGCAUAAAGCAGUAUCAACAAGUCCGAGUAUGCAUGGCCGCGCAUGUGAGGGUUUGACCGUGCAUAUAGUCGUGUAUAUGUUACAGAAACACUGGUAGUCAUCGAAGGCAACACAUGUUUUGACCCGACCGCGCACCGACUGUGCACCAGGUAAGCUCCCUAACCUCUUUUAUUUUAACCUGAAUUUUAGACCUGCACCCCUUUUUUCUCUUCUCUUCUUUUGCCCUUUUCUCUAUUCUCUCACCAAACCCAACCCUAAUCCGUUUCAAUCCACCCUCUCUCUCACACCUACACCAUACACACCAUCCCCCUCCCUCACUGUCUCUCCCUCGCCUCCUCUAAUCUAACCAACCAGUGUGUCAUCAUCACUUGAACCCUCGGGUAUGUAACUUCUUCCAUCUUUUUCAUUAUUUUAUUUUCUUUUUACGGUUCAAAGAAUGGUUUUCACCGCGGAUGAUGAACUUUAUGGCUGCUAUGUAUAUGAAUUAUUAUGUAUAUAGUCCAUCUACAGCUAAAAAUUAUUUUGUGUGGAAUAGCAGCAACUUUGUAUGUAAGGUGUUUGUUUAAAUGCCACAAUGAGAUUUUACGGUGUGUUUUCGAAAUUGUUGGCCACCUGAUGGUAAUCUAUAUAAUUUAAUUAGGUGAACUAGUAAUGGUGGCAUAUUUUAAUAUUGUGGAAUGGAUCCUUAUCAUGGCAAGGAGCAGUGUAUAUUUUAUCACUAUACGGAUGAAGCCUUAGUAACCCUUUUGGUUCGAAGAGUGGUAUAAUUUUUUAUAAUUGUUGGGUUGUUUUAGGUGCAAAAUGGCCACUUCAAAGAAAAGAAAAACCCCAAGCACAUCCACUAGUUGGCAACCGGGCACGUCCAAAUCUAAAGAUGUGGGCACUUCAAGGUCUUGUGCUUCCGCAUCCACUCACUCAUAUGAUCAAAAUAGGUUUGUCUCUUGGGAGGCCCAAGACUGGUUCCAUAGCAAGUCAAAAAAAAAGCCAAUACCUGAAAGCGGAAUAGAUAUCGGUUCUCUCCUCAAUGAGUGUUCCAGGGUUCAUGAUAAAUUAGUCCGGCGAGGAUUGGGAGCAUUCUUCAAAGAACAUGACGAGGCCAAUUUGACUGUUGUUAGGGAGUUAUAUGUGAAUUUCCCAGAACAUGAGGACUAUGUGUGUACAGUCAGAAAGAAAAAGGUGGACUUUUCUAAGGAAGCUAUCCAAAAGGCCUACCACUUACUAGAGUAUGUGGACCAAAUUGGUGAAACCAAUCACUUAGUGGAGAAUAACAAGCAACUUUACGUGUGGGCUAUGUUCUUUUAGACCAUCUAUGUGCCCGGGAAGGAGGUGGUGUGGUUAAUCAGGGACCACGAAUUUCACUUUGCUACACUAACUUUUGAAGGAAAGUGUUGGCUAUACAUCAUCAAUAAUCGCUUGAUGCCUUCCGGCAACACAAUUAAGGUGAAUGGUCCUCGGGCUGCUCUGAUUUGGUGCUUUGUAAAUGGACAAAACUUUGAUGUGGAUAAGGUCAUUCAAGAUGAGAUGACAAUUCGUUGUCCAGUGCAGAGGUAUGGGUUUUUUUCCAUCGUUAGUCACACGGUUGUGCCGUGAGGCACGAGUACCAAAAACAAGGCUACUGACGGAAAGGUAAAGAGAGAGGAAAUUUUCGUAUGAUUAUAUUAUCAUUGGGAGGGAACUUGUUGUGGCUGCUGAAGUUAAGAGUGAGGAGUUAGAUGCACCUGUAGAAGAAAGAGAGGUGCACGGGGAGGAUGUUGGUGCUAGUACCCCGCAUGAGCAAAUUGUCGGAGAAUCAUCAAGCAGUGUGUGGGAAACAAGAAUGAUUGCUUUGGAAUAAAAGAUGGUGGAGAUGUGCACUUCUGUUGAAGAUUUGGGUACUCGAGUAGAGUCACUUUCUAGGAAAAAUGCCAAGUCAGAGCGGAAGAUCAUGGCAUGGUUGUGCACGCUCGACCGGGCUUGUCACCUGGAUCCCGACACUAUCUCUAACACAGAUUGACCUAGUCAAGAAAGUUUCCUUUACCUUUGCAUUUUAAUUUUGUGACAUGAGGACAUGCCACUAGUUAAGUGUGGUGGUGGGGGUAUUGUAAAUAGCGUUGUUUAAAUUUCUUUCCUACAAAAAAGAAGCCCAAAAAUAUUUUCUUAUUUUUUUUAGGAUAACUUCUUCACUUGUACUUCCAUGGGUUUCUUGUUUGGUUCUUUAUAUGGUCUUAAUAUUUUGAACCAAACAAUUUCUAGAGUAGAUUUUUUUUUCUCUUUGAGAUUAGUUUUGAAAAGUUGUUGGUGGUUUGCAAAAAUUAACUGUUCCUAACUUAUGGGAUGCAUGAUCCUGUCCUUGUGAGUCAGAGAGACCAUUGGUGACUACGGUCUGAAUUGUGUGCCUAUCCAAAAUGCUAUGUGUGGUGAGGUGAAUAUUUGCUAGGUAAUCAUGACUCACAUGAUCUAGAACUUGGCUUGGUUGUGACUCAAGGCAAAAUCAUGGGUAAUAGUUGAGUUUGGAGAUGACUAUAGGCCUUCUUUGAUAGCCCUUCUUCUAUUGUUUUGAAACCUCCUAAGAACUGAUAAAGUUAUCCCUAGUUAGCCCAGUUGAGCCUAAUUCCCUCUUUCUUUGGCAACCACAUUACAACCUAAACCCGUAGCCGUCCCUAAGCACUUGAAUACCUUGUGUGUGAUUCUAAAAGAUAAAAAGACAUAAGUGUGGAGCUGGGGAUUGGUUUUGAGUAGAACUAAUGAGAAGUAGAAAAAGGUGCACCAUCAUGAAUGUAUGUGAGGUACGUGAGUAAGGGAUUGUGAAAAGAAUGAAAAAAAAAGAAAAAAAAAGAGAAAAAGAUAUGCUUUUGCUAAGUAAAGAAAUAAGAGUGAACAUUCCCCUGCUGAUGUAAAGUCCUUGUAUGUUGUGCUUAAAGAAAUGAGAACUCGGUGCUUUUCUGAAUUGGAGAUUUGGAGGCAAUUGUCACUGUAAAAAGUGUAGGUCAUGUAUAAAGUUGUAGGUAUUAAAAUUCUUAGGGAGGUGAAUAUACUAUUAUACAGAUUAUAUCCAACUCAUCCCAUAACCUACGUUACAACGAAAUGCAAAGUCCUACAAGAUUUAGACGAGAUUGUUCCUAUAUUAGUGGAGAGUUACACGAUAGCCAAGAUUGUGGUACUCUUGAAAGCAUGAUUCACUUCUUUGUGAGGGCGAGUGAGUGUUGUUUUAUAGCCCUAUGCUAUUGUUUGCAAUUGGUGUGUGAAUGAGCAUUGUCUCUUUAUUGUGAGGUGUAUUGAGGAUUUGGCGCCGAUUUGACCACGACACUAGUGGGAUAUCAUGACCGAAAUUAAGGUUGAAUGUGACCACAUGAUGGUAUCUAGUUCAUUCUGGCCGGCCACUUGUUUAAGGAGGUUGUAGGGUUAGGAGCAAUUUAGUUUUAGAUUUUCUCUGGACGAGCAAAAGCUAAGUGUGGGGUUGUUUGAUGAGCUUAAAAUUACUCGACAUUUAGGCCUUCUUUGUGUCCUUGAUUUGGUUAUUUUGAUAGAGAAUUAGUUUGAUUAUGGUCUAAUAUGUUGCCUUUCAGUGCAGGUGGUGCAGAGGGGAUAAAUGGACAGAUAGUGCACGAAGUGUGAGGAAAAACAAGCUGAAAGAGGAGAAAAUUCUCAUGCGCGGCCGUGAUCUCAUCCAAGUCACACCUCUAUUUAAGGUUAUGAAACAGUCGAUGCAAUAGUAUACCCAACAAGGAGCCGGGGUCGAUUUUUUCACAAGGAGUCGGGUUUUACUACCUCUAGGUUCAACCCUUUAAUUGGGCUUAUCAAUCUCUCGAUUGACCCAAUAUCUUGUUAGCCAAGUUUUCCUGGACUAAGUCUCUCUUUCUCAAGUAGAAACUAAGUCAAAUAGACAUGAACUAAUGUUUGCAACCAUUAAUUCUGCAAUUAAAAGCAAGAACAAGACUAAAUAAUAAACUCCCAACUAUAAACAAGAAAUAAAUCAAACACCAAUUAAGAUUACACUCUAAAAUUGGGUCACAACCCUAGGAAAGAAAUCUAGCUACUCAUACUUAAGAUAGAAGAAAUAGAAGAAGAAAUGAUAAUUAAACCCAUAUUGAUAAUUAAAAUGAUGAAAUCUAUGUUCGAAAAGCUCAAAAUAGCAAAAACUACUAAAGAGAGUUAAGAAAACCAUCUACUGUAGCAGCUGAUGUCCAAAACUUGAUCUAAAAAAGUGAAACUCUUCUAUUUAUACAGGGCUGACAUUUUCGGACAAAAAUACCCUUUCAGAGGUUCUGCGGCCGUACAAUUCCAUGUGCGGUCCGCACUUUGCUUCAGCCUGACAGGAUUGGAAAUCUACGAGCACAUAAUUCUGAACUACGGCUGCACUUCUUUCUUUCUGCGGUCCGCACAAAUGUGUAUGUGGCCACACCUUGCUCUUCUAUGGUCCGCACAAAUGAGAUGGCGGCCGCGUAGCUGUUCUUCUGCGGCCGCACAAUAUUUGUGUGGCAUGUACUUUUGUUGAACUUGAGAUAUAGGUUCUCUGAACCUUUUUUGUUACACAGUUUCUGUUGCCGCACUUUUCAUAUACGGACUGCACUUUUCAUACUUCUCUGAUGGGGCAUUUCUUCACAUCCUACGGUCGCAGAUGAUAAUCUGUCGUCCACACUUCUGAGCUUCUUAGCCUGCUUUUGUCCUUGAGUUCAGAUCACUCCUUCUUGAGUUGGAUUUCAUUUUGGGAGCUCAUCUUCCAAUAUUCCUGCAAUUAAGCACAUUUCAUUAGUUUACAGGACACAAUUAAGCGCUUUUGGACUAAAAUGAAAGUAAAAAGGCGCUAAUAAGUAGUCAAAAGCCCCACUUAUCAACUCCCCCAAACUUAAGUUUUUGCUUGUACUCAAACAAAUAAGGUAACUCCCACCUCCACAAGUUAAGAGCUAUUCCAGCUAAUCAAAGAUGCAUCAAUCACACAUCAAUUGGGACCAACAAUUACCCACAACACUUAUAAAUUAUCAACAAGGCAAUAGGUUGAACUUUUAAGCACAAAUAGUUCUAAUAUGAUACUUGGGCAUCAAAAGUUGACUUUAUUCAUCAAGGAAGCUCGUUCUUUCAUUUAGGUCAUUAUGGAUCCCAAACUCCUCUUCCUCUACUCUCCAUUUGCAUAUCUCACGUAAGAAUAUAGCACUCAAUUCAGAGAUUUGUGAUAGGUUCGCUCAUCUCUCUUAAAAAAUAUAUUGCAAGUACGACCCUAAGUACCAUAUGCUUGCCCCUCAUGUAAAUAACCACUAAUGUAAGCUCACUUGGCUUAAAAUCACGUAGGGCUUUUUCGGAACUCAAAGAAGGCUUUUGGACUAAGGUUGGAUAUGCUAUGAUAGAACAGAUUCAUCUUUCCUUAAGCACUCCAUUUUCUCUUAUCGGCUCAUGUUUUGCCAACUCUUUGAGGCAUUUUCUUUUUCUUAGGGGAAUUAGAGAGACCUACGUCACUCUUUCUUGGUCAUGAUAUUCAUUUUCUCCUUCUUUGCUUUCUCCAUGCUUUGCAUCAUUACUUUCCUUUGAAUUCCUUCAACUCUUCAACUUAUUCACUUUCGUUUUGCAUUUUUCUUUUUGUUUUUUCUUUCUUUUCCUUGCCUUUCCUUCUCUUCAUUUCUUUUCUCUUCUUUGUGCCUUGAUACCCUUUUCAAACUCUUCGCCUCUCUCCCAAACUUAUGUUUUUAUCCAAUUGUUACACAAGAGUGUUAAGGAAAACUCGGGUGCCAAGAGAGGGUCAUGACAAAACGGGUAAAGGCUUGUAACAUGGUUAUCAAAUGAGAAAGGUUUUAGGCUCAAAUGGGUUGACUAGGGAUAAAAUAUUGGUGGGCUAUGGAAAACAAGCGGGUCAAGGAGAGCAUACAAUCACUUCUCAAGCCAAGAAGAACUUGAAAUUUUACCUUGAAACACUUUCGGGGCAAGUUCUAGACCAUUCGCACGGAUACUUUGACUUGCAACAGAAAUAUCUUACUUCUCACGUAGCUAGAUUGUUAAAGAGGAUAGAGUCGAGGGCCCACAAAGACUAGAAUCAAUAUUGAAAAUCAUUACGAUUUGACUAAACCGCUCGAUGAUUGCUUAAGUCAACACAAGAGUCAAAAUAUUACUAACUAGAGUUAUUUCUUUCCAAAAGCUUAUUUUUAACCAUAAGCAUAUAGUUAAGUGUGUUGGUACCGAGUGAAGAAUGUUUGACUCUUCGAGCCUGACUCAAUUAGGUAUUUUUAUUCAUUAUUACUACUAUUCUUACCUAAAUACGAAAAAUGGACUCAAUCCCUUAAGAAAGUUGUCACGCCAUCCAUCGUUGGGAAGAGUUACCCGGUUCACACAAAAACUACCUUUGGAAAGAACCAUGGUAUUAAGAAAACCAAAGGCUUAUUGUCCACUCAAACAUAAAGAGAAGCUACUAAAUUAAAUAGAAGCUACUAAAUUAAAUAUUGACUAAUAAGAAAAUAGAAUAAAGAAGCUACAAAGCAAACUACUGAAAGCAUAAUGAAUAUACAUAAUGAGAGAGGAAAAGAGAGAAUAUAUAUACAUCAGCGAGAGAGGGAGAAAGGAGAGAAUAUAUACAUGAUAAAGAGAAAGAAGAAAAUUAUUGUCAGUCAUUACAAAUCAAAUGUCUAGAAAUCAUCAAAAUAACAAAUAAACUCCACCCCUCCCCCCCUCCCCCGAAUAAAAAUAAGCGUUGUCCCCAAUGCUUAACAAAAAAAAAUAAAGAAGGGUAAGAGUGAAGAGGACUCCCUAUGUGGCCUUGAACAACUCCGUGUCUAUAGCAGCAUCACCGCCCUCAGUCUCCUCUAACUAGAUCUCAUUAUCCUCGGCUCUGGGAGUAACUGGUUUGGUGAACAUUUGGCUCACCACCUCAGCAGCAUCGGCAGCCAAGUCUGGCUCCUCAGAUUGACCAGCUGGUGCCACUGAAACUAAUGGUGUUUUGGGAUCUACUGGUGAUGGUGGAUCUGUCUCCAUCAGUAUAUCAAAUGGGAGAUCACCAGCUGUUGCUAUCAUGGUCACCUCUCUCCUCAGCCUGUCAACUAAUUUCUUGGACGCUUGGGAUUUCUUCAUUUUCUUUACCUGCUUCUCCAGCUCCUCAAUCAUUACUCCAUGUGUACCAAGGUAUUCAUGAUGGUGGUCUAGUUCUCCAAGAUCUUCUUCAAUGUUCCUCUACUGUUAGAGUAAUCUGGGGUGCCAGAGUGGAUGAUUGUGGCUGCAACAAUACUGGAUAUGUCAGACUAUUUUGUAGUGGUUGUCUGCAUCCAGUUGUUGAGGCCCGCCAGUGUCUGGGAGACUCGCAAUGUAGAUAACGGUUGAUUGGGCACAGGUAUCGGCUUCAAGGCCAAGGUGGAAGGUUGAUGCUGAAGGUGGAGGCAUUGCAGCUGCACUAACAGAAGGCACUGCUGAAGUGGAAGGCAUAUAUGCUGACUUUGCAGCUACCACCGAAGGCGCAUCAGACUGGCCUAUGGUAGUAGUCGGCUGACCCUUUUUCUUCAGGUUCUUUAGGUCCAUCAGAGAAUACCAAGAGAAAGGCUUAUUUGCCCGAACCUUUGUGUCAAAAUCCUUGUUUUCUACCCGUGCAUUUGUAAGGUACUCCGUGAUAGUAUUGGGAUAAGGGUAGGAGGUGUCACCUUGCCUGGCGACCACAAACAUAUUGGCCGACAUCAAGGCACACACAUUGAUUAGGUACCCGACCAUGAUAUAUGCAACUAGCAUUGCCCGCAAAAUUGGAAAAUUGGUUUCAUUUUGGCACAGGUCUAGUCUGUUACACACAAAUGUAUGUCAUCCCUUUACCUCAACAUUCAGGGUGUUCCGCUGAAUAAGAACCCUUGUAGUGAUCUAUGGUAGUGGUGGACCCGGGGCCGCAAGAAUCUCAGUUAGCCAUAGGCGAGCUGCGUCUCCCAGUGCUAACGUUUCCCGAUAUUGCACAGGCUCCACAUCCUCAAACCCGAAAUACGUGUUUAGGGUGUUCUGAUCGAACCUCACCUUUAGAUUUCUCACUUUUGUUACCUUGGUCCCUUUCUUUAUAUGCACCACAUUAGCAUAAAAUUCCCAGAUCAGGUAGUCCUUAGCAUCUACCAUACUCUAGCUGAACCACAUCCACCCCUUCCGCUCCCGGAACUGUCUCAACACUGCUUGGUUGUAUUUACCUAGGUCUUUCAACAUGAACUGAAGCUCAAGAGUGAGCAAUCUCACCUGCCACCAAUCUUGAAACUUGUGAAGGCAUCUAGACUAAUAAACCUAUCUUCCCACAUCUCUUUAUUCUUCGACCUCUCAAGGCCAACAACUCUGGUAUCACCCCCUCGGCCAUAUCAUCACAUCCACUGUAGUAGCUGGUGUGUUGGGGGCAUGUGUAGAUGAGGGCUCUGAAGCCUGACUGUCACCUUCCAAACCCUUGGAAGUGCUCUCAGAAGUGGAAGGCUCGCCUUGGAGUUGAUAUCUUCCCUGAAGCUGUUGUGACUAUGAUUGAACAACAAGCUGCUCUUGCACUAAUUUGCCCACCGAUGUUUCCCUAUAUGGGACAUAAGAGCUUGAUUCGGCUAGUUCUGCAGGUCUACCUCAAUCAGCGGUCGCCUUUUUGGAUAUAGCUCUUUGAAGGGCGAGGGGUAAGGCACUCUUGCCUCGGCCUCUGGAAGGUUCACCUUUCCCCUUUGAUGUAUCGCCACGACCUCGUGAUCUAACCAUUUUCUGUAACAAACAGUAGUAUGAGUUAGUUCUAGUUCAAGUGCAGAAAAACAGACAUUCACAGAACAAAACAUGUUGCAGGGUGGGGAAGUGCGGACCGCACAAAUGCAAGUGUGGCCACAGACUAGGUUGUGCGGACCGCACUUGAAAGUGCGACCGCAGAGAUGAAACUACGGUCCGCACAAUCUUAAGUACGAGCACAGAAUUGAAGUGCGGUCCGCACAUUUUUGAGUGCAGCUACACAUUAGACUUUUCAAAAGUUCCCACUCUCUGAUGACUGAGAUUUGCCUGAUCUGCACCCGCUCACACUUUUUUGUGGCCGAGAUGGAAUUUUUGUAGUCCGCAAAAUUUCAAGUGCGACCGUAUAAUUGACUUGACCAAAGACCCUAGAUUGCAUCUUCUGCAUACCGCACAAUUGCUUGUGCGGCCGCAGAUUUCAAAAUCAAAACAAGCAGACUUUUAGGGUUUUCAAGUUUUUGCACAGAUUCAACAUGGUAUUAAAAAUUAAGCAGGAAAAUGAAUUCACCCAGUCCCAUAAAGAAAUUAGGAGUUGACCUAUUACAGAUUAACCCCUACAUGGUAUUAGAAUUGAAAUCUAUUGACAAAUGGCCUAAAACUACCUAAAAAAUUGUAAAUUAAACUAAGAAAAUUUAAAAAUUGCAUGAGAAAUUGAGCAUACCAGCUAUGAAGGAGUGCAACUAAAUGAUCACAGGUGUAGAUGGAGUGUGGCACAUGAUCGAACAGAUGAUUUCAAAGUGUUAGAGUUUAGAGUGCUCAGAGAGGGAAAACCUUGUACAGUAGCCCAAGGAUACUAUUUAUACUAGCAGGCAAACUUUGGGAAACAAAGGAGGAGUGCGGCAGCAAAAUUCCUUCUGCAGUCCGCACUCUGUUACCUGAAGGCUCAGUAGCCUUGCUGAUCUGCGGUACACACAAUUUGUAGUGCGACCGCAGAAUUUGGCUACAGACCAUAUAAUUUGGUGUGCGGCCGCAGAAUGGCUAAUUCUCUAACAAACCAAAAUUCAGAGAGUUUGCAUUUUCCCCAUCCAAUUUGUGUGGUCCGCACUACAGUUGCCUUCUGCUGUAGCAUUCAAAAUUAUGACGUUCGCAUAAUACAUGUGCGGUCCGCACUUUUUUUAUACUUCGCCAAUUUUUCUGAGCAUAGUUCCUGUAAAGCACACUCAUUCCUGCAACACACAUCAAAUCCAGUUAGCAUAAAAUAAGACCUAUCUAAAGAAGAAGAAAAGAAAAAGAAACAUGGGUUCCCUCCAAAGAAGCGCUUGAUUUAAUGUCACGGCAUGAUGCUAAUUACCAUCACUUGAAAUAUACCUCCACGACGUGGCCAUCACCAACUCUUUCCAAAUAAUACUUCACCCGGUGACCAUUGGCUCUAAACACCUCAUCAUUUUUAUUCUUCAAGUCCAAUGCACCAAAAGGUGUCAGUCCCACAACCUCAAACGGGCCACUCCAUUUAGACUUUAACUUUCCGAGAAACAUCUGUAACCGUGAAUUGAACAAUAACACAAGAUCACCCUCUUUAAGCUCUUUGUUCCAAAUGUACUUGUCAUGAAGAUAUUUCAUCUUCUCUUUGUAUAAGGACGAACUUGUAUAUCCAUGGUACCGGAACUCAUCCAACUCAUUCAAAUGUGCCACCCUUAAGUUGGUGGCGACAUCCCACUCAAGAUUCAACUUCUUUAAAGCCCACAUGGCUUUGUGCUCAAGUUCCAUCGAAAGAUGACAAGCUUUUCCGAACACCAACCGGUAUGGAGACAUUCCUAUAGGUGUUUUAUAAGCCGUCCUAUAAGCCCAUAAAGAAUCAUCAAGUUUCUUGGACCAAUUCGUCCUGUUAGCAUUCAUAGUUUUGGACAAAAUACUCUGUAUCUCCCGGUUAGAGACUUCCACUUGACCACUUGCUUGUGGAUGAUAGGGAGUCAUGACUUUAUAAGUGACACCAAACUUGGUGAGUAAGGUGUCGAAAGCUUUGUUGCAAGAAUGCCCCCCCCCCCACCCCUCUAUGAUAGCCAGCGGAGUACCAAACUUUGUGAAAAUAUUCUUCUUCAAAAAUUCCACCACACUUCUUGCUUCAUUGUUGGGUAAAGCAACGGCCUCAACCCAUUUGGACACAUAAUCAACCGCGACCAAGAAGUAGGUAUUUCCACAAGGACCCAUGGAGUCAGUAGCCCACCUAUCGAAAAUAUCAAUCUCAAAAAUGGUGGUGAGGGGCAUUUCAUUUUUCUUUGAGACUCCACUGGCCCUUUGACAUUCAUCACAACACUUGACUAGAUCACUUGCAUACUUGUAAAGAGUAGGCCAAUAGAAACCGCAACUUAGCACUUUGGCCACUGUUCUUGCUCCACCAUGGUGACCACCUACGGCGAAGAAUGACAAGCCCCAAGAAUUUCAAAUUGUUCCUCCUCUAGUACACAUCUUCUAAUCACUCCAUCCGUAUAAAUCCGGAAUAGGUACGGUUAGUCUUGAAAAGCCCGUUUGAGCUUCUUCCUUUGGUUUGAAGAGAACUCAUCCGAGAUGAUACCACUUACAAGAAAAUUUGCUAGAUCCGUGAACCAUGGCUCCUCUUUCAUUGAAAUAGCCAAGAGUUAUUCAUCUAGGAAGGAGUCAUUGAUUUCAAGGCCAUCAUGUAGUCCCCCUCCUCCUCCAAACGAGAAAAGUGGUCCGCCACUUGGUUUUCACUUCCUUUUCGAUCUUGGAUGUCUAUACCAAACUCUUGCAACAAAAGCACCCAUCUCAUCAAUCGGGCUUUGGAAUCUUUCUUGCUCAUAAGAUAAUGAAGUGUCGCAUGAUCCGUAUGGACAAUGACUUUUGCACUCAUCAAGUACGGGCGGAACUUCUCAAUAGCAAACACAAUGGCAAUGAGCUCUUUCUCCAUAAUGGUGUAUUUGACUUGGGAACUAUGCAUGGUCUUACUAGCAUAGUAGACCGGAUGAAAAAUCUUAUUGAUGCGCUGCCCCAAAAUAGCCACUACCACUACAUCGCUUGCAUUGCACAUGAGCUCAAAAGGAACACUCCAAUUUGGAGCGGUGAUUAUGGGAGUAGUAUUCAACUUGAACUUUAGAAAUUCAAAGUCUCUCAUGCAUUCAUCAAGUGGAACUUAGCAUAUUUCUCCAAAAGCGUGCACAAUGGGUUCACCGCUUUAGAGAAAUCCUUGAUGAAACACUGGUAAAAUCCCACGUGGCCUAAGAAACUCCACACGCCUUUAACCGAAGUUGGAGGUGGAAGUUUAGAAAUCACCUCAAUCUUUGCCUUUUCGACUUCAAUGCCAUUAUUUGAGAUCUUGUGGCCAAGGACAAUGCCUUCCUCGACCAUGAAAUGCCAUUUCUCCCAAUUGAGCCCCAGGUUUGUUUUUUCACAUCUUGGCAACACUUUAUCCAACUUUGCGAGACAAUCAUCAAAAGAAUUCCCGACCACUGAGAAGUCAUCCAUGAAGACUUCAAGGUAAUCCUCCACCAUGUCCAUGAAGAUUGCCAUCAUACACCUUUGAAAAGUCGUCGGUACAUUGCACAACCUAAAUGGCAUCCGCUUGAAGGCAAAAGUACCAUAAGGACAUGUAAAGGUAGUCUUCUAUUGAUCCUCCGGAGCAAUACGAAUUUGGUUGUAGCCGGAAUACCCAUCAAGGAAACAAUUUGAAGCACGUCCGGCCAAUCUAUCAAGCAUUUGAUCUAAGGAAGGGAAGUGGAAAAUGGUCCUUCUUUGUGACUUUGUUGAGCUUACGAUUGUCCAUACACAAUCUUCACCCGGUCACCGUUCUUGUUGGAAUCAAAUCAUUCUUAUCAUUGGUGACCACCAUCAUACCCCUUUUUCUUUGGGACACAUUGAACCGGAAAAGUCCACGAACUAUCGAAAAUGGGGUAGACAAUCCUGGCAUCCAACCACUUGAUAAUCUCCUUUUUGACAACCUCUUGCAUGGCUUUAUUGAGUUUCCUUUGAUGUUCAAUAGAUGGUUUUCCACAUUCCUACAAGUUAAUCUUGUGCAUGAAAAAUACAGGGUUUAUCCCUCGUAUAUCCUCCAAUGUCCAUCCAAUAGCCUUCUUCCUCUUUUGUCACCGCCAGUGUAAAGUCUACCUGCACGUUAGUCAAACAAGUGGAAAGAAUAACUGAUAAAGUAGAAGAAGGGCCAAGAAAUUCAUACCGAAUAUGUGGAGUCAAUGGCUUCAACUCCAAGAUAGGAGUCUCUUCAAUUGAAGGUUUUCUAGGAGGAGUUGUCCUAUUUUCAAGAUCCAAGGACAAUUUGCGGGGUUCAUAAGUGUACAACCACAUUCCUUGCAAAGAGUUCACACAUUCCAUGAAUCCAUCCAUCUCAUCAUCAUCAAAGUUGAGCAAGAUGGCCUCCAAUGUAUCAUUAACAUUCAUCACAACACUUGUUUCAUCUACAAUCACAUCGGUCAUCAAGUCCAUGAAAGAACACACCUCUUUGCUAUUGGGUUGCCUCAUGGACUUACACACAUGGAAAAUCACGUUUUCAUCACUAAGCCGGAAGGUAAGUUCUCUGGCUUCAACAUCAAGUAGAGCCUUCCUCGUAGCAAGGAAAGGUCUGGCACCUCAUAAUCAACCUCACUAUCAAGAAUGACAAAAUCCGCCAGAAGAAUGAAUUUAUCAACACGAACCAAUACAUCUUCAAUCACUCCUAAUGGUCUCUUCAUGGUACGAUCGGUCAUUUUUAAUCUUAUAGAUGUGGGUCUUGGUUUCCCAAUUCUCAAAGUCUUGAAAACUAACUAGGGCAUCAAAUUGAUACUUGCCCCAAGAACACAAAGAGCUUUUGCAAACUCAGCACUUCCAAUUGUAUAAGGAAUCGUGAAAGCGCCAGGAUCCUCCAACUUGAGAACCAUUGAAUGCACAAUUGCACUCACUUGAUGAGUCAAUUUUAUAGUUUCAAAAUUCAUCAACCGCUUCUUUGUCACUAAAUCCUUCAUAAACUUUGCAUAACUGGGCAUUUGCUCCAAGGCUUCAACCAAUGACACAUUGAUUGAUAGACUCUUCAUCAUGUCAAUGAACCUUUUGAAUUGAUUCUCGCCAUUUUUCUUGGCAAGACAUUGAGGAUAUGGAGGAGGAGGCCUAGGCAUUGGUUCCUUAUCCUUUUACACUACUGGUUCCGGUAUGUCAACAAUGUGAUCCCUAGACGGGUUCACUUCCUCUUAAGCUUCUUCCACAUUGUUAUCAAUAUCAAUCCGCACUUCAUCAUUUUCUUGCACCACAUGGUUCGGGGUCUCAUCUUCUUGAACCACUUACUCAUCAUCCAUAAGUUUCCUUUGACUUGAGGUGGGUGAAUCCCCACCUUUUCCACUCCUUGUAGUAAUGUCCAUGGCAUGUCCCGUGUUGUUCCCACCCUUUGGGUUCACCACCAUGUCACUUGGUAGUUCCCUCUUAGGACGAGUGUUUAGAGCGUGAGAGAUUUGCCCUAUUUUAACUUCCAAGUUGCAAAUUGAUGUGUUGUGUGAGGCUAGUUGGGCAUCGGAGUCGGAAUUCUUCUCCAUCCUUUGUUUGAACAUAUUCUCAAAUUGUCCCAUCUCAUUGUUGGAAGAACAAGGACCAUGGGAAGGAUAAGGAGGUGGGUUGCUCGGUUGUUGAUACAUCGGGGGCCUUUGAAAAUCCGACCCCCAAUUGCCUUGAUUAAUGUUCCAUCCCCCUUGGUUGUUGCCUCCCCAAUAUCCUUGGUUGUUGCCACUCCAAUUGCCUUGGUUAUUUCCACCACUCCAAUUUCCUUGAUUGUUGUUAUUAUUCGAAUUCCCUUGUUUGUCGCCACCACUCCAAAUACCUUGGUUGUUAGAAUUGUUAUUACCUUGAUUACCUUGAGGUCGCCAUUGUUGUUGAUUCAGGCCUUGAGAGUUGUUUCUUUGCCCUUGAAAGUUGUUCACGUAUUGCACUUCCUCCUCUUAUUUAUUGUAAGAUUCAUCUUGAUCAAACCUACUAUCUUCUUGCACAUAAUUCUCCACACGGUUUUGCACUUGUGGACCCUUGGGCCUUCUUUUGUUCACCAUCAUACUAACUCCGUCCAUGCCAUUAACUUGCUUAAGACUUUGCACUGGUUGAAGUUGAGCCUUGGCUAAUUGAUUCAUUAUGGUGGUCAACUCGGCAAUGGCUUGCCCAUGAUCAUGCAAUUCUUUAUGUAGCGUUCGGAUCACCUUGAGGAACAUUUGCCCUACUUUGCCAUGCCUAUAAAGUGUCCGCCAUUUCAUUAAAAUCUUAUAAGCUUGCACAUACGGCGUUGUCAUGAAAUUUCCACCAGCAAGUUGAUUGACCAUGCACUGAUUGGUAGUAUUGAUCCCCCGAUAGAAGGUUUGUUGAAUCAUAGCCUCUGUCAUGUCAUUACUGGGGAACUCUUUGACCAUAGUUUGGUACAUAUCUCAUAUUUCAUGCAACGGCUCAUUGAGCUCUUGUUUGAAUGCUAGAAUCUCAUCUCUAAGAGUAGUCAUAUGUCGGGGAGAAAAUAACUUGGAAAUAAAAUUCUCAGCCAACUCAUCCCAUGUAUGGAUGGAAUGGUUUGGUAAUCUCUCUAACCAAUCCAAGUCUUUCCCCCGUAGAGAGAAAAGAAAUAUCCUCAAUCUUAAAGCAUCAUCGGAGAUGUUUGUCUGUUUACUCCCCCAAUAAAUGUCCAAAAACCUCUUCAAGUGUUUGUAUGCAUUUUGACUAGGAGCCCCGUGAAGAAUCCCCGCUGCUCUUGCAAUGUAAGCAUUACAUUCGUGAUUUGAAAGUUGACUACCCUAAUAUGAGGCGGGACUAUGGCACUUGCAUACCCUUCAUUCGGCAACACCCAGUGUGGAGCCGCUUUUGGUGGAGGUGGGUGUAGAACUAGGACGUUGUCUUGAGGCGGUCGGCCUCUUCUAUUUGCUUGAGGUUCAAGAGAAACCUCUUACACUUGGUCAUCUUCAGCGUCCACAUCCCCCAAAGGCAUGUUUCUGAGUUGAUCAUUAUUGAGGGCCAUUGUUACACCUACAAUUAAUUCACAAAAAUCAGUAACAAGGAAGGAAAAGAAGACAAUUCACACAUAAAACUAAAUAUAUAGCUAAAUUCGUUUUAGCUCCUCGGCAACGACGCCAAAAAUUGAUCUCGUCCAAGUCACACCUCUAUUUAAGUUUAUGAAAUGGUCGAUGCAAUAGUAAUACCCAAUUAGGAAUCGAGGUCGAUUUUCCACAGGGAGCUAUGAAUGGGACUUAGGGGUAUAUAUUAUAGUGUGUGAGAUUGAGUUAUCUCAAAUUGCACUUCCACAAUCUUGGGUUGUUUCUAGGUCUAAUUUAAUCUAAGAUUACAAACUAAGAAUUGAAAUUAGGAAACUGUUUUUGUUGUUAUUUUUCAAAUGAUAUAAAAGGCCUAGGGCUAUGACCUUCACCUGGGUUUUUGCCUAAUAAGUUGUAAACUUUAAUGCUUGUUUUAUUGGUCGGGAUGUAUUAUAGCUAUCAACACUCAAGUACCCACUCAAUACCUCUCGGUCAAAGAGUAAUUUUUCCCAAUUUGACUUUCCCAAUUUCAAAUUGGUAUUGAACAAAACGGCUGAUACAAAGCUCAAGUCGGGUUUUACUAUCUCUAGGUUCAACCCUUUAAUUAGGCUUAUCAAUCUCUCGAUUGACCUAAUAUCUUGUUAGCCAAGUUUUUCUGGACUAAGUUUCUUUUUCUCAAGUAGAGACUAAGUCAAAUAGGCAUGAACUAAUGUUUGUAACCAUUAAUUCUACAAUUAAAAGCAAGAACAUGGCUAAAUAAUAAACUCUCAACCAUAAACAAACAAUAAAUCAAAUACCCAUUAAGAUUACACUCUAGGGUUGGGUGACAAUCCUAGUAAAAAUCUAGCUACUCAUGCUUAAUAUAGAAGAAAUAGAAGAAGAAAGGAUAAUUAAACCCAUGAUAAUUAAAAUGAUGAAAUCUAUGUUCAAAAAGCUCAAAAUAGCAAAAACUACUAAAGAGAGUAAAGAAAAUUGUCUACUGUAGCAGCUGAUGUCCAAAACUUGACCUAAAAAAGUGAAACUCUUCUAUUUAUACAAGGCUGAAAUUUUCAGACAAAAAUGCCCUUUCGGAGGUUCUGCGACCGCACAAUUCCAUGUACGGUCCUCACUUUGCUUCAGCCUAACAGGAUUGGAAACAUGCGGCCGCAUCAUUCUGAACUGCGGCUGCAUACCUUUUUUUCUGUGAUCUACACAAAUGUGUCUGUGGCUGCUUCUUGCUCUUCUACGGUCCGCACAAAUGAGAUAGUAGCCACGUAGUUGUUCUUCUGCAGCCGCACAAUAAUUGUGUGGUCUGCACUUUUGUUGAACUUGAGAUGCAGGUUCUCUAAACUUUUAAUCUUUCCCAAUUUCUGCGGCCGCACUUUUUACACUUCUCUAAUGGGUGUUUCUUCACAUCCUGCAGCCGUAGAUGAUAAUCUGUUGUCCGCACUUCUGAGCUUAUGUGCAUGUUUUUGUCCUUGAGUUCUGAUCACUCCUUCUUGAGUUGGAUUUCAUCUUGGGAGAUCAUCUUCCGAUAUUCUUGCAAUUAAGCACAUUUUAUUAGUUUACGGGAACACAAUUAAACGCUUUUGGGCUAAAAUGAAAGAAAAAAAAUGUUAAUAAGUAGUCAAAAUCCCCACUUAUCAAGACGCGCACUAGAAGCCACAAACUCACAAGGGUCAUAGAAAAACUGGUAGAGGUGUGUGGCCAUAUGCGCCCCUAUACACCAAGAUGCGCGGCUGCGCACGUCUGUCUCCGGGAAUUUUAGUCAGGCCUAUUUUUGUAAAUUGGGAGGCAUCCUUUUAACCUAUAUAAAGCCUAAUAUUGUCCCAAAACAUGGCAUUUCGGAUUUAUGGAGUAACCUUUGGAGAGAAGAAGGCAAGGAAGAUCAUAGACUUUUGAAUACUUCAUCUGAAUCAUUCAAUACGAAAGUUGGUUUGAAUUUGCGGGUUAUAAUAUUUCUUGUCCUCUUAUUACUCUUUGAUGAACAAUUUCUCCACUAUGGAGUAGUCCUUCUUAGGGUUAUUGAUAAAUAUUAUGAAUUGAUUAUUAAUCGGGGGUUUGAUUGCUGUUAGUUUCUCGAAUUUGUCGAACGAGUUCUGAAUUAAUUUACAAAGGUACACGGGGUUUCACUUUAAUCGGAAGAAAAGUGGGCAGCAGUUAUCAUUGUGUUAUCCUGUUUGGGUUAAUUUCAUGACUCUCAUAGGUAAUCGAAUGAGCUUGUAGAGUUAUCAACUGACCAAAUUUAGAGUAAUAGUCGAGAGACGUUCCUCGUAAGAACAUUCAUUCAAUGUAUUCGUGCAUACGUUUCAUAGCACUUGCCAUUAGGUUGUUUAACAGAACUCUUAUUCAUUCGGAAGAAGAAUUUGAAUCCUUAAUAUAGCCUAAUCAUCUGUUGAAAUCGAAAGUGUCAAUAGAAUUUAAGAGUGAACUUAGCAUAGAGUUAUCCCGAAUAUAGUUGAUCACAUAUCUUGUCAAGCCCUUAUUUCUCACAUUGAUAUUCAAUCGUUGCUACUUAGUCACUCAAUUUUCAUUAUUCAUUUACAAUUGAUAAUCUUAGUUUUUAUUCUUAGUUCAUUAAUAAAUCAAAAUCAAAGGUUUAUUUUCCUGAAUAGUGUUAAGCUGAAGAUUCAUUUGAACAUUAUUUAAACCAAUCCCAGUGGAGACGAUUUAAUAACUAUACUAUCUUUGACUAGCUAGCCUAAGUUUUAUACACCGGUUCUGCGCUCGUCAGUAGGGAGACGAAAAGGGAUAGUACAAGAAUAUUGUUCAUAGGUGCAUAACAACAUCAUUUUUUUUACUUAUUAAGAUUUAACAUGUUGGCCGGAGAGUUGUAUUUUAGUAAAACAAGUAAUACAGGAGGAUGAUAUAUCCUUAACCUCAAUAAUACAACAUAACGAUAAAAAGUUAUCCUUCAAAAACUGGGAAGGGGAAUUUUUUGCAUUCCUUACCCAGUCCAAAAUAAAGAUUAGACUAACAAAAAAACUUGUCUUAUUAUACUUAGUUCUGAUGCUAGGCAUUUGGUAUUUGUCUAAUUGAUAUGUCCCUUUGAAACUUUUUAGAAGUUGUUGGAAUGAGAAGUAGUAGGAUCCCUCUGUUGAUGUAGUAUCAAGUUUAGAAAGGGAAUCCGCAACUUGAUUGGCCUCCCUAUAGCAAUGUAUAAUAUUAACAUUAGCAUGAUCCAACAUCUGAGAAGUGUAUUCUAUAGUUAUAAGCUCUCUUCUUCUUCAGCAUAUUAGUCACAAUCAUGGAGUCUAAUUCUUGAGUAAAAUUUAUGUAUCCAUGUUCAAUAAAACAAUUUACUCUAAACAAGCCGCCUGAGCUUCUACAUAGUUGUUGCUACUGCACUGAGUGGGAUAGAGAAGGCCAUAACUAUGUCGCCAUCAUCAUUCCUUAAAAUCCCUCCCAUUCCAGCUAUGUUAUUCGCCUUUAGGAAGCUACCAUUAGUAUUUAGCUUGAAAGUGUCUGUCUCAAGUGUGUUCCAGAGAACUAUUGUGAUCCUUGGGAUAGGAUGUAGCUUCACUAGGUUGUCACAAAGAUUAUUCCAGGGAAGACAGAGCUUGCAGUUCGGAAAGGCUUUAGAUAUAGCUGAUCCAACUAUCCAACAAACGUGUUGGCCCAUUUUGAAUAAGUUUAACUUCUUUUGAUUGUCAUAUUUACAUGAGCAUCUUUCUUUUCAAAUAGUCCAGUAGAUGAUAGUUGGAGUGAUUUGUAGCACAAGUUUAAGUACAUCAUUCAAGGCAUUUACCUGCCACCAGUUAUUAAUGGUAAAUCUAACAGACCUCUGCUGAUGCGUUAUGCCCAAUAGGGAACCUAUUAGUUUCCAAAUAUAACUAGCUGGCUCUCCUUCCAUGAAAACAUGUUGAAAAGUUUCACUUUUGGGAGAUAAGUAGCAGUUACAUCUAGAAAACAAAGUUGACAAUAACAUCAUCAAAAUGUAGUUUUUUGUUCUACAAUCUCCAAGUAAGAAAAGAAAUUUUAAAAGGAAUAGAGGAGUGUCAUACCAUGCUUAAGAUUAGCUCUUUAGGUUUUCUAGUUCUGAUCAUUUCAAGUGUAGUUUUGUUGGAGUAGUUUUAUUCCUCUAACAAGUUCCAAAAAACUUUGUCUGGAAUUGUCCUCUUCCCAAUAAGAAUUCCAAUAAUAUGAUGAACCAAAGAUUCUGGAAGAAUGCUCUUUAGUUUGUGAAUAUUCCACUCCCCAUUUUGUAUGAAAUUCUUCACUAGAAUCUUGGGGCUUUUGUUAGUCAUGGGGACUAGAGCUGCUAGGGGACUUUUAUUAGUCCAGUUAUCCCACCAGAAGCAAUAAUAACCUCAAUUAAUAUGUCGUAGCAUGAGAUUUUUAGCAUUCUUUCUAACCUUGGUCAUAUGUUUCCAGGAAUGUGAGCUCCUAGAAGCCACUUGUUUAGCAAUCGAUGAGCUCUAAUGCAAUACUUAUGUUUGAUGAAGUUGGCCCAUAGAGAAGAAAUGGCUCUAAAUCUCCACCAUCUUUUGGUGGCUAAUACUUCACUGAUAUCUUUCAUUUUUCUUAUGCCUAUUCCUCCUUCAUCUAUAGGAAAUUAAAGAUUUUUUCAAGACCUCCAGUGGUACAUCCUUUGAUCCUUACUACUAUCCUAGAAAAAAUUAGCAAGAUAUUUUUCAAUAAGAUGAAAGGUAGAUUUAGGAGGGACAUAUAGGAGAGAGUGUAUAUAGGCAGAGAUUGUAGAACAUUCUUGAUUAACACCAUUCUACCUCAAGGAGAAAGCAUGUUACCUUACCAACCAUUGAGUCUUUUUAUUACCUUGUGAACCAUAUUAUCAAAGUAAGCAAUUUUAUUUCUACCAACAUAUAGAGGGCAUCCAAGCUAAGUAAUAGGGAAGACCUUGUCAAGAAAGCCUGUGCAUUGUCUCGUUCCAUUGAUCCUGGAGGCACAGGUCUUAGGGGCUAUUAAGAAGAAGCUCUUAUCCCUAUUGACAAGCUGACCAUAGCACUCCUCAUAAUCUUUUAUUACCUUGAUAAUCAUAUUAAUUGAUAUACUACUUCCAAUUCUAAAGAUAACAACACCAUCAAUAUAAGCUAGAUGACUAAUAAUAGGACAUCUAGAAGGCAUGAAGAAAGGCAUCAAGUUGUUCUUCUAGUUAAGAUUAUUCAGGGAUCUAGAUAAAGGUUCAGCAGCAAGAAUAAGAAGGGAAGGGGAAAUAGGACCCCCCCCCCUUGCUUUAAGCCUUGAAAAGAAGUGAAGAAGCCAUUUCUAGAGCCAUUAAUAAUUAUAGAGUACCAAACCCCAAAAAUAAGGUUUUGGACUAACUCUAUCCAUAGUUCAGAGAAGCCAUAUCUCCUAAGAACUGAUGUGACAAAUAAUCAAGACAUUCUAUUAUACGUUUUCGCCAUAUUCAGCUUAAUAACAAUGUUACCGCCUCGAUUAUUCUAUGAAAUACUUUGAAUGAUUUCCUGACCAAGAAGAACAUUCUCUAUGAUCAGCCUAUCCUCUACAAAACCAGUUUAAUUGUUGGAGAUAAGCUUAGUCAAAAGGGGUUUAAGUUUAAGAGAGAGGACUUUGGAGAUUAUCUUGUUGGUUAAUUUAGAGAGGCUAAAUGGUCUAAAUUCAAAAAAAUGUGGUAGGGGAAUCGACUUUAGGAAUCAAGACAAGAAAAAAGUGAGAAUAUAACUUGGUGUGCUUCUUUCCAAUAAAAAUUUUUCUAAUAAAGGCAAUAAUAUCAUACUUGAUAAUAUCCCAAAAAUGUUGAAAGAAAGUACCAUUGUAACCAUCUUGGCCAGCAGUGCUAUCAGAACUUAAGAUAAAGACCGCUUCUUUGAUCUCUUCUUUACUAGAAAUUGCAGUCAGAUUGAUGUUGUCUUCUUCAGAAAUAUAAUUAGAGAUGUAGUUAAGGAGACCGUGGUUGAGAGUAGGCAUUGGAAGAUUGAAGAAAGACAAAAAAUGAUGCACAACAGCCUUGGCAAUGUUCUUCCCUUUCUUAAUCUAUUUCCCUCUAUGGUACUUAAUCAUGUUCAACUGUUGUUUACUUCUCCUUUCCCUGAGAAGACUAUGGAAGUACCUGGUAUUGCUCUUCGUCAAACCAUCUAGUCUAAGUUUUCUGUUUAAGGAGAGAUUCAUGCAUACUCAACCAUUUAAUAUAUUUUGCCUGUGCUUUAUUCGAUUCUUCCCUGCUAUUAUCAAAGAUGGUUGCAGCAUCCAUAUCCUCAAAUAUUUGAACUUUUUCCUCCCAUUUUAUAACUAGAUCAUUGAUGUCCCCAAUCUGUUCUCCAGAUCACUGGCUCAAUUUCCUGCUAAGAAGCUUCAAAUUAGAUUGUAAGACCCACAUGCGAUUUGUCAAUUAUAUUGGACUAGCAGACUUCUUUAACGAUGUGUAGGAGGCCCUCUUCAUUAGCCUAGAAAUGAAGAAACUUGAAGUAACUGAUGUGACAUUGGUUAGUGUUAAAGCACUUCAUGAGUAAAGGCCUAUGAUCAGAUUAGUUCUCGCCAAUACGAUCAUACCACAAGUUUUGAUACCCUCCAAUGUGAACCCCCGUUUCUAGCCAAAUAUACAUCCUGAAGAUCUCCAAUUACUAUAUGUAAAUCUUGAAUCCUUCAAAACCAUUCUCGGGAGUCAUCCACUCUACUCAGGUUUCAAUUAGUCUGAUCAAAUGAACCGAACGACAUGUGCCCCAUUAGAACAGCAAUACCUAUGGAAAUAACCCAUCCUUCUAAGCAGCCGAGUGCUAUCCUACUCUAUACCUGUUACAUUCCUUACUACAACAACUAAUCCAUCCAACGUUUCUCAUAUACUCAUAAAGAAUAACACAACCCUUAUCCAAAAAAUUUCUUUACUCAAGUCAUCCUCGAUCUCAACCUCUGUAAGCCACAAUUGAUUCGUCGGCAUAACACAAAUUGAAACUAAUACGACAAUUAGCCGUGCAAUAAACUUAUCAAUAGCAAACUCCCCCACUUGGCUCAAAGCCAUAAGUCAAAAUACAUAAAAACUCGCAAUGCCCAUACUCUAUUACCGCCAUAAUACUAUAGGGGAAUAAAACUAAAUCCUCCAUAAGCUCGUGCAACACAAUCAUCUAGUACUUCAAAUCAUCUGCAAUCUCGCAUUCACCUUCGUAACAGUCAUGCCCACUCUCAUAAGUGAUACAAACUCAAAUUGCAACACACAUAUUCCACUAGUAAAAGAGGGCUCCCAACAAACAACAUAGGGAUCACACAAACCUCAGAACACCCCGCAGGAGAUAACUCACCUGUUUUGCCUCAAACUAACAUCUCUUCAUACCUUUCCACCAUCAUAAACAUCAUGCAAUCACUUAAUCUUCCUAAGUCUGAACUCAUAUCACAACAUAAAAUCUACUUCACUCCUCAACUAGACAACAUGAAAAGAUCCUUCAACACACCAACAACUCGAGGCUAUAUAUCAAAUCACGAUGGAAAUCAAACACCAGAUAGUUCUUUCUACCCUCAAGCAGACCCUUCUCGACACAUUUAAAUCGUAUGAACACAUCUCGCAGUCACAACAUACUCAUCACGUAGCCAUCUAAUCAUCACUUCCACUAAUAGGGAUACUAUUAAACAUAUAAAUCCAAAAGCACGUGCUCACACAACCAACACCUCAGUGCUCAGCUACAGGAAAAGCCCGGCCUCAAGUCCUCCAGACUGGCCCAACAUCAACACAUAGAAAUCACAUCUCGCCCCUCGUUCAUGGAAGCACAAGUCGUCGAUGCACAGCUGACCAAACGCACAUAUGCGCACACGAAUGUGUGGAAGAAUUCAAAGAGUUACAUUUCAAGCUGAAUCAACGUCGCACGAUUAGAAUUCAAGAAUGUGGGAUUUCCUAAAGGUUCUGCAGCCUCUCGAAGAUAAGUACAGACGUCUCCGUACCGAUCCGCAAGACUCUACUAAACCUGCUCAUGACUCGUGAGACCUAUGUAACCUAGGCUCUGAUACCAACUUGUCACGACCAAAAACUCAUCACGUCGUGAUGGCGCCUAUCGUGGAACUAGGCUAGUCUCAACUCAACGCAACCCAAAACCACAAUACUAAAACCAAAUCAUUUGCAAAAAAACUUUUAUCAUUUAAAAUAAAUUGAUUAAGACAUAAAAUAAAGAUUCAUAUUACAAUACAACCAUCCCAAAACUAGGGUGUCAUGGAGUACAUGAGCGUCUAAGGUGAAUACAUAAUCUAUUAAAGUGUCUAAAGAGGCAAUUGUAAUACAAUUGGAAAAUGAGAAGGAGAGCCAAAGCCUGCGAACGCCAUGUAGAUACCUCAACAAACUCCACAGCCUGCAACCUCAAUCAACGACUGCCACUGGGUCCAAAAGUACCUGGAUCUGCACACAAGGUGUAGGGGGUAACGUGAGUACACCAUCUCAGUAAGUAACAAGUCCAACCUUUGGACUGAUAGGUAGUGACGAACUCACCCUCAUCAAAGAUAAUAGAAAUAACGUAUAGAAACAUAGGCAUGCUUUCAGUUAAAUAAACAGCUCGAAUAGUAAAACAAAGCAAGUAUGAACAGAGUAAAAAAGUGUAACUCUACUACAUCUACAUAGCGAUACACAUGCUAUAUGAAAUGCACCAUGCUGAGUGACUCAUGUGCCCACAAUCUCAAUUACUCGUCCACUCAGUGUUGUAUAUGGCUCAUACGGCCCAGGGAAGAUCCAUCCCGGAAUAUAUACAUCUCUGACAGCAGUCACUCAGUACUGAGGAAGGCCAGCCUAUGGAAAAGAUCCAUCUCCAAAUAAUAAUAAACAACCUCACAACCACUCGUUACUGUAUAUAGCUCACAAGGACCAGGGAAGAUCCAUCUCGGCAUAUAUACAUCUCACAGACCAAUAGUCUCCAGUACCAAGGAACAACCCAAUCCAUCCUCAUAGAGAAGAUCCAUCUCCAUACCAAGGGAAGAUCCAUCCCUGACUAUAAUCAAUUGCGCUCACUGGUGGUGUAUAGACUCCGGAGGGGCUCCUUUCGGCCCAAGCGGUAUAACAAGCCAACGAAGGCAUAAUUAAUAAUCUGCUGCGAUGUGCAGCCCGAUCCCAUAACUAUCACUCAUAAUCAAGUUCUCUGCCUCACUCAGUCAUCACUCUCUAAUCUCACACACACGGCUCACUAUACCAUGAAACUAGCCGAAACAAUGAUAUGAUGUGCCAAAUAACAACAGAGACUGAGAUAUGAUAUGAUAUACAUGAACAAUACAGAGUACAGAAUAUCAAUGAAACAAAUGAGAUGACAAUAAGAAAUGACCACUCGGGUCUCAACAUCAUUGGCAUGAAGCCCUAACAUGAUAAUUAGCAUGAUUUACAGUUCAUUUCCUUAAUCAUAUAAUCACAACACAGAUAUCAAUAAGAAAGAGUCACUAAGUGGUAUCGUGGAAUGAUAUAUGCCACAAUUCUUACGAUGCACGCCCACUCACCCAUCACUUGGCACUUGCGUCACCUUAAUACAAAUCAUAUAGCACAAUGUUCGGGGUUUCAAACUCUCAGAACCAAGUUUGGAAGCGUUACUUACCUCAAACCAAGCCAAAACUAUAACUUGCGAUGCCCUUGCCUCUCGAUUUGGCCUCCAAAUGCUCCGAAUUUAACGAAAAUUAGUAUAUUACCAUCAAUAUACGCUAAAGGAAUAAAACCCAUAUGAAAAUUAUCAAAUUAGAUAAAAAAAAGAAAUCCCAAAUUUGCUAAAACCCGACCCCCGGGCCAACGUCUCGGAAUCCGAAAAAAUCACAAAACUAGAAAGCUCAUUCAUUCACGGGUUUACCCACAUCAAAUUCAUCAAAAUCCGACAUCAAACGACCAUUCAAAUCCCCAAAAUCAACUCUCCAAAUUUUCUUCCAUUUUCCCCAAUUUUCACCCCAAAUUCCCAAUUUAGAGGAUAAAGAUUAAUACACAAUCAUGGAAUUUAACUAAAUUUGAGUAAACAACACUUAUCCCAAUCACUUCUAUGAAAAUUCCCUCCAAAAUCCCUUCUCCCGAGCUCUCUAUUGAAUUUUGGAAUUAUGAACCCAAACCCUCAUUUUUGAACUUAAACAUUCUGCCCAGACAUUUCCUUAAUCGCGAUCGCGGAAACACCCUUGUGAUCGCGAAGAACAACUUCGCUAGCUCCUGGCUUAACCCUAUGCGAAUGCGUUAAUCUCCAUGUGAAUGCAAUAUUCUGUCACUCUCUUAUACGCGAUCACGGGCCAAUGAUCUCACUCGCGAUGAACAAAUGACUGGCCCCAGCUUUGUCCCACUUAACCUUACAUGAACGCGACUCUUCCCACUAGAACGCGAUGCACCACAUGAUCAACCUACGUGAUCACAUCUCUAACUCCGCGAACAUGAUGAACAACUUGAUUGGUCUCCAAAAAUACUCUAUGCGAUCGCGAGCCUCCUCACGCGAUCGCGACGAAAGACCUUCUACAACAGAAAUACCAGCAAAAUCUGCCAAUCUUUCAAGUCCAAAAAUGCCCGGUUGGCCAUUCGAAACACACUCGAGGCCCUCGGGACCUUACCCAAACAUGCCAACUCAUCCUAUAACAUCAUUCAAACUUAGUCGAGCCUUCGAAUCACUCAAAGCAACGCCAAAAUACCAAAUCCACCUCGGAUUCAAGCCUAAGAACUUGUAAACUUUCAAAUUCCACAAACAAUGCCGAAACCUAUCAAAUCACCUCCGAAUGACCUGAAAUUUUGCACAUAUAUUACAAAUGACACUACGGACCUACUCCAAUUUUCAGAAUUCCAUUCCAACCCCGAUAUCAAAAUUCCCACUACAGACUGAGAAACGCCAAAUUUCCAAUUUCAUUGAUUCAAGCCUAACUCUACCACAGACCUCCAAAUCACAUUCCGUAUGAGCCCUCAAGUACAAAAUAACCUAAUGGAGCUAACCAAAUCAUAAAAAUCCAAAUCCGAGAUUGAAUACUAAAAAGUCGAAACUUGGCCAAACCUUUUAAAUUUAAAGCUUCAAGCUAAAAAUCAUUCUUCCAUAUCUAUUCUGAUUAACCUAAAAACCAAAACCGACGAUUUACAUAAGACAUAAUAUAUCAUACGGGGAUAGUCAUGCCUGAGAACUGGCGAGCAAAGCAUAAAUGCUCAAAACGACCGGUCGGAUCGUUAUAGGAGGCCAUAACUAUAUCGCCAUCAUCAUUCCUUAAAAUCCCUCCCAUUCAAGCCAUGUUAUUCGCCUUUAGGAAUCUACCAUUAGUAUUUAGCUUGAAAGUUCCUAUUCCAAGUUUGUUCCAAAGAACUAUUGUGAUCCUUGGGAUAGGAUGUAGCUUCAUUAGGUUGUCACAAAGAUUAUUCCAUGGGAGAGAGAGCUUGCAGAUCGGAAAGGCUUUGAAUAUAGCUGAUCCAACUAUCCAACAAACUUGUUGGCCCAUUUUGAUUAAGUUUAACUUCUUUUGAUUGUCAUAUUUACAUGAGCAUCUUUCUUUCCAAAUAGUCCAGCAGAUGAUAGUUGGACUGAUUUGUAGCACAAGUUUAAGUACAUCAUUCAAGGCAUUUACUUGCCACCAGCUAUUAAUGGUAAAUCUAACUAACCUCUGCUGAUGCGUUAUGCCCAAUAGGGAACCUAUUAGUUUCCAAAUAUAGCUAGUUGCCUCUCCUUCUUUCACCUUUGGGAGUAGUUUAUAUCCUCUGACAAGUUCCAAAAAAUUUGUCUAGAAUUGUCCUCUUCUCAAUAUGAAUUCCAAUAAUAUGAUGAACCAAAGAUUCUGGUAGUAUGCUCUUUAGUUUGUGAAUAUUCCACUCCCCAUUUUGUAUGUAAUUAUUCACUAGAAUCUUAGGGCUUUUGUUAGUCAUGGGGACUAGAGCUGCUAGGGGACCUUUAUUAGCCCAGUUAUCCUACCAGAAGCUACAAUCACCUCAAUUAACAUGUCGUAGCAUCUGAUUUUCAGCAUUCUUUCUAACCUUGGUCAUAUGUUUCCAGGAAUGUGAGCUCCUAGAAGCCCAUUGUUUAGCAAUCGAGUGAGCUCUAAUGCAAUACUUGUGUUUGAUGAAGUUGGCUCAUAGAGAAGAAAUGGCUCUAAAUCUCCACCAUCUUUUGGUGGCUAAUACUUCACUGAUAUCUUUCAUUCUUAUGCCUAUUCCUCCUUCAUCUGUAGGAAAUUAAAGAUUUUUCCAAGACCUCCAGUGGUACUUCCUUUGAUCCCUACUACUAUCCUAGAAAAAAUUGGCAAAAUAUUUUUCAAUAAGAUGAAAGGUAGAUUUAGGAGGGACAUAAAAGAGAGAGUGUAUGUAGGCAGAGAUUGUAGAACAUUCUUGAUUAACACCAUUCUGCCUCCAGGAGAAAACAUAUUAUCCUACCAACCAUUGAGUCUUUUUAUUACCUUGUGAACCAUAUUAUCAAAGUAAGAAAUUUUCUUUCAACCAUAAGCAAUUUUCUUUCAACCAACAUAUAGAGAGCAUCCAAGGUAAGUAAUAGGGAAGACCUUGUCAAGAAAGCCUGUGCAUUGUCUCGUCCCAUUGAUCCUGGAGGCACAGGUCUUAGGGGCUAUUAAGAAGAAGCUCUUAUCCCUAUUGACAAGCUGACCAUAGCACUCCUCAUAAUCCCUUAUCACCUUCAUAAUCAUAUUAAUUGAAAUGCUACUUCCACUGCUAAAGAUAACAACACCAUCAACAUAAGCUAGAUGAUUAAUAAUAGGACCUUUAAAGGCAUGAAGAAAGGAAUCAAGUUGUUGUUCCGGUUGAGAUUAUUCAGGGAUCUAGAUAAAAUUUCAACAGCAAGAAUAAGAAAGGAAGGGAAAAGAGGAGCCCCUUGUUUUAAGCUUUGAGAAGAAGUGAAGAAGCCAUUUCUAGAGCCAUUAAUAAUUAUAGAGUACCAAACACCAAAAAUAAGGUUUUGGGCUAACUCUAUCCAUAGUUCGGAGAAGCCAUAUCUCCUAAGAACUGAUGUGAUAAAUAAUAAAGAUAUUCUAUCAUACGCUUUGGCCAUGUUCAGCUUAAUAACAAUGUAACCGCCUCGAUUAUUCUGGGAAAUACUUUGAAAGAUUUCCUGAUCAAGAAGAAUAUUCUCUGUAAUCAACCUAUCCUCCACAAAAUCAGUUUUAUUGUUGGAGAUAAGCUUAGUCAUAAGGGGUUUAAGUUUAAGAGAGAUGACUUUGGAAAUUAUCUUGUUGGUUAAUUUAGAGGGGCUAAUAGGUCUAAAUUCAAAAAAAAGUGGUAGAGGCAUCAACUUUAGGAAUCAAGACAAGACAAAAGUGAGAAUAGAACUUGGUGAGCUUCUUUUCAAUGAAAAAAUUCUCUAACAAAGGCAAUAUCAUACUUGAUAAUAUCCCAACAAUGUUGAAAGAAAGUACCAUUGUAUCCGUUUGGGCCAGCAGUGCUAUCAGAACUUAAGUUAAAGACUGCUCUUUUGAUCUCUUCUUCACUACGAAUUGCAGUCAGAUUGAUGUUGUCUUCUUUAGAAAUUUAAUUAUAGAUGUAGUUAAGGAUACCGGGGUUGAGAGUUGGCUUUGGAAUAUUGAAGAAAGACUCAAAAUGAUGCACAAUAGCCUUGCCAAUGUUCUUGUCUUUCUUAAUCUAUUUUCCCCUAUGGUACUUAAUCAUGUUCAACUGUUGUUUCCUUCCCCUUUCCCUGAGAAGACUAUGGAAGUACCUGGUAUUUCUCUUCGUCAAACCAUUUAUUCUGAAUUUUUUAUUUAAGGAGAGAUUCAUCCAUACUCAACCAUUUAAUAUAUUUUCCCUGCUAUUAUCAAAGAUGGUAGCAGCAUCCAUAUCCUCAAAUAUUUGAAAUUUGUCCUCCCAUUUUAUAACCAGAUCAUUGAUGUCCCCAAUCUGUUCUCUAGACCACAGGCUCAAUUUCCUGCUAAGAAGCUUCAAUUUAGAUUGUAAGAUCCACAUAUGAUUUGUCAAUUAUAUUGGACUACCAGACUUCUUUAACGAUGUUUAGGAGGCCCUCUUCAUUAGCCCAGAAAUUAAAAAACUUAAAGUAACUGAUGUGGCUUUGGUUAGUGUUAAAGCACUUCAUGAGUAAAAACCUAUUAUCAGAGUUAGUUCUCGUCAAGUGUCUCACAAUAGUGAUCUGGAACUUCUGAGCCCACAUGUCAUUAAUAAAUUUCCUGUCAAAUAUUUUCUAAAUUCUCUUGCUAGGCCUUCUAUUAUUACACCUUGUAAACCAAAAACUAGAAAAACCAACAUCAGUCACCCCACAAUUGUCCAUACAAUUAAUAAAAUCCAAGCGUCUAUGAACCCUAUGAGGCCUUCCUCCUAGCUUUUCAUCUAGAUCGAUAAUGAUACUAAAGUCUCCUCCAAUACAUGAAGGACUAUCAAUGCUAAGAUUGUCUUGUUCAAGGUUGUCCCAAAGUCCUUUUCUUUUAGUUGAAGUGCAUUUUGCAUAAACUGUUGAAAUAUAAGAACUAUGGUUGUUAAUACCAUCUUUAAACUUCAUGGUAAUAUGUUUCUCAUCCUCAGCUAUCAAUACAGAGUGACAGUUGAUGUUAUAGAAGCACCAAAUUUGACCAUUGCAGUUGGAGAUACAAUGUUGAAAUCCAAGAAACUUCUUUUAACCAUCAAGCUUUUAGUUAUUCACAAAAGGCUCAAAGAUGGCCACAAAUUAUAUCUUGUUUAUGUUGAUCAAGUGUUUAAGCCUAUGAAUAAAUUUCUUUGAUCUCACCACUCUAAUGUUCCAAAAAAUUAUACUAAUCAUUAGAAUUUGUUGGGGGUAGAUCCUCUUGUUGUUUCCUUUUCUGUAAAGAAGCAUCUUUCUUCAUGUGCCUUUUUUUCCUAGUUUGGGUUCUUACUCUUUCCUCGGUGAUACAUGUUUGAUAUUUGUUAUUCAACUUGUUUUGGAGACUUCUGUUAAUCUCCUGAGUAUUUAAUUUGGUUUCCUUGUGGCAAUUAGAAGUUGUCUAUCUAGGAAGAUCAUUAGUAGCCUCAUCGAUGUUCUCUGUCGGAUGAAUACAUUUGGGAAUAUUCAGUUCAACAACCAAAUUCACUCCCGGUUGAUUAAUAAUAUCUUAUGGUAAAGUGGAUGAACUAGAGCUAUCAUUAACCGUAUUAGAACCCAGAAUUGCUAGCUGAUGUUCUUGAUCAACCCUUGUGUUGGUGUGAAUCUCCCCUUGCUUACCUUUAUCAUGCCUUCUAUCUUCUUUAGAAAUGUUUGGAGCUUCUACCAUAUUUGUAAUAAGAUUAUUAUCCAUAAUAAUUGUUUGUACCCGGUGUUGGUGACUUUAUUUUCCUUGAUCACCCUGACUUUGGAUACUCUCUUUGAUUUCUGAUAGGGAUUGGUCACUUUGAAUAGAAUUAAUGGCUUUUGCUAUCCUUCUUUUGCUAUUUCCUGUAGUUGUAUUGGUUUGAAUAUCACUUUGCUUCUUUUUUGGCAUUUUAUUAACUUUCUUCUCUUUUUUUCUUCCUCCUGCAUAGUCUAUCUGUACGUUCAGCUGAAAAUAUAGUCACAUUGUUAGUGUUAAGUUGUGCUAUCUCUGUUCUUUGUUGGUUCAUAUGAUGCUUCUUCUUAUUAGCUUCAACUUUACCAUUUGUACUCCCCUUUUAUAAUAGAACUGGUUGCCUCAAUUUUUUCCUCAAUAAUAUUUUUUAGAUGAUUUAGCAACUUCUUUAUUGGUAGGCACCUCUCCUUUCUUAACAUUAAUAUUAACAUUCUACUAUGCCACACCCUUAACAACUUCUGUAGCAUUCUGCUUUGCCAUAUCCUUCUUUUGGCCUCUAUUUCCUUCAUUGUUCUCUUCCUGAUUUUUACUACUUCUUUCUUCUAUUUGCAAUAGAAUCAUAUUUUCAGCAUUCAUUUUGCCUUCAUUGACUUCUACAGUUCUUAUUUUCUCAAGAACUCUAUAAUUUAUCAUAUUGUGCCCCAUUCUUUUACAAUGCUUGCAGUACUUAGGAAUAUUUUCUUAUUCAAUUUUUUGCCUAUACCCUCUCAGAGGUGAAUUCUCAUCCUUAAAGCCCACCCAUACACUACUAGGCUAGGGUUUCGUUAGGUCUAUUUUAGUAGCAGCAUCCAAGGCUAAAGGAGUGCCAAUAUUACUAACAAUUUGCCUAACAUAAUGUCAUGUAUGCAUAUUGAAUGAUAUACAUGGAAGAAGUACCCAUGCCGGAACAAUUGGAAUGUCUUCAUCCAGCUUCAAAUCCGGUGACCAUUUUUGUAGCCACAUUUGUAAUCCUUCAAUUUUGAUCAUCCUCCUAUACCAUGCAUAGUUGAAGUCAUCUUCAUUGGUGAAGUCUAUUAAAACAUUGUAGUUGUCAUAGACUCCAAUCUUAGCAGACCUUUAAUUGAAAAAAGCUCUCUAAAACUGGAUCUUAUCCUUUCGAUUUAAGGAUAGGGCUUCAGAAACCUACCAAUAAUAGUUAAUUUGCAUUCUUCAGCCAUGAUUCUGUAAUAGUAUUUAGCUUUAAAAUUCACCAACGGCAUCUUAUUGUGAGUAGUUUGUCGAGCAAUCACUGAUUCUCGAGGGUGUCGAACGGUGGUCGUUGGAGUAACUGUUGCGGUAGAUACUGUGGUGGCAUAAGUUAAUUUCCUGCAAUUGCUUCAGUAGGUGGAGUCGUCAUAUUUGGAGGUUCAUAUUGGCUGUCAGUACGCUCCCUUUGGACACCGUUUGACGGCGCCAUGAGGCGGAGCGUAGGGUUGACGCGUCUAAUAUGUUAUCGUUAAGGGCCAACGCUAGUAAUAUUAUGGAGAGAGUCUUUUGCAAAGUCAGACCUGGUAUUAUACAUAUUGAUGAACGGUGAUGUUUGGUUGAUGGUUUAGUUAUACAAGAAUAAUAAUAAUAUAUCACGACCCAAACCGAUGGGCCGCGACAGGCACCCGGUACCUUACUCAACCGAGUACCUACAUAACGUAUAUUUUGUGUCAUACUAUCAUAGGUAAAUGAUCCAGAGAGGCUGUCGUGAGAUAAGUAAAAAACAUGGGAAAAAUACUCGACAUUGGAUGACCCAACAUGUAAUCCAAACUCAUACAUAUGACGUACGGGCCUAUAAGGCCGCCACGAUUCCUUAUAUACUCAAAACAUAGGUCGACAAGGCCAUAAAAGUAUCUGUAUACAUGACAUCUGUCUACAAGCCGCUAGGAAUACAUAAUAUCAUAAAGUGCGGGAUAGGGCCCCGCCGUACCAAUCAAUACAUGUACUAAUCAUACUGACCAAAUAGGCAACUCCAGAGCAAAUGGAGUGCACCAACACCUUUUGCUGAGCUGAUAGUUUACUUGAAGGGCUCAUAACCUGUCUAUCAGGACCUGCGAGCAUGAAGCGCAGCAUCUCCAGACAAAAGGGAUAUCAGUACAAAUAAUGUACCGAGUAUGUAAAGAAUGAAAAUCACUAAAUAAUAAACAUGAAAGAAAUAUGGAGUAAAAGACUCGACAUGUAAGUCUGAAAAACUUUGUAAAUCAUGAAAUACUUAUAGUGUCAUGCAUAUGCGUAUGAAUCUCAUGUAGUACAUAGGUACAUGUAUUCAUAACAUCAUCAAGUCUCUGAGGGCAUCCUAUCACAUCAUCUCAGCCACUAUGGGCAAAAUCAUCAACGUAUACCAGCUGAUCAAGUGGUGGUGCGUAUAUAACGCCGUAACCUUUUUCCAUAUCCCAUAUACAUAUAUACGUGUAUAUAACGUCAUCUGGUCAUGGGUCAAUGUAUAUGUAUAAAUAAAUGCAAUGCAUGAAAAGUACGUCAAUAAAAUCUUUCAGAAUGUCAUAAGACUAUUAUGCCUUUGAGUAAUAUCAUGAAGUAAACUUUUUCAAUUUAUGUAUUUUUCUGAGACCCAUGAACAGAUAAUAAAAUAAUAGUACACAUGGGAAUUCAAGAACAUAGGCACCUCUAAUACUUCUAUGAAUAGAGUCAUUUAUGAAAGUUGUGCAUUUUUUCGUUUCGUUUGUGUUGUAUAGAUCAUGCCAAAAGGAAAGAAGGGAUAACCUUAACAUGCCUGAACGAAUACUAUAUACUAGAUAAGAUUCAAUAAUGUGGCAAAUCUAAGGAUGCUACUCUUUUAGCAGAAAAAACAAGUCCGAGCAAUUCUCAUAGGUAUGAGCUACAGUACAUAAAUGAUGGUUAUAUGGGAUACAUGUUGAUGGACUGCCCAUUGCAAUGCCUCAGGGUAUAUGAUAUAUGAUGCGUGUGCAGUAUUUGGACUUGCUACAGUAGCUUACUGGUUUUAGGCCAUAGGAUGAGACUGUCAAUUCAGGGGCCAGUCGCACGAGUUUGACAGCUUAAUAACAUUUGGAGAUAUUGCACCCUGACAUCACCGGCGAGACAGAUGAUCUACAUAUUCACCGGUAUACGAGGUUGGUGCUGCUCCUUAUUUUUGGGGGGUCUUGUUCCCGAACACUUCGGGAAAUCUAUGAGUUUGCGAUUUCUACAUCAUUUCCAGUUGCUAGAUAAUUUACCCAAGUACAGUUGGGGUGCUCAGUUCUCGCUUAAAUAAGUGGAAGAUGAAAUCAAAAUAGAGGAUAUCAUUUAGGAUAUGCAUGACUCUAAUCUCCUCAAUCGAAGGACAUGAAGUGAAUUGGAUGAAUUUUAAGAUCAAGCUGAAGUUGAGUAAGUCUAAGAUUCAAAAUAAGAUUCUUCAAGAAUAGACAAAUUAAUAAUUAAAUAGAACAAGGAUGUUACCGAAACUAAAGAACUUACAACAUCUGGAUCACUAAUCAAUGCAUUCCAAUCCGUUGGUUUAAUGUAUUUGCCAAAUCUUACCUUUCUAAUCUUGCCACAUAACAUGAUAACUUAAGAGUUACAAUUCUUUGGGGUACCUUGUUGCCACAUGGGGGUGGGGGGUCUUAUCUUACCCAAUUCAUUAAUUAUCCACAUUUUAAUUAAUCUCCCACUAAAAAUCAUUAAUUACCCAAUUAUCCACAUAAUUAAGAAUUAUCUCAAAUUACUUAAAAUACUACUCACUUUUAACACACUUUAUAUACCUUACUAUCAUGGUCAUGUGGUACCUUGUAUGAUACUAGUUUAUGAAUAAGGGGUAUUAUAGCUUGGACCAUAUUUUAUCCCCAAAUUGCCAAACUUCAGCGGAACUCAUUUUCUUCAGUUCGUUUACCCUCUCAUCUUCACGAAUUAACUUAUCACUUAUUUGAAAUAGCGUAAUACUUAUAAUCCCAAAAUAAAUCUCAUUCCCGAACACACGUCGAUUAACUUACGACGAAAUCUUAACGUACGAAAAUCCGAAAUUUAACAUCUCAUUUCUGACCUUAUAUCAAUUUACUUAUGGUGUACUUCCAUGUACGAAAACAUGGGGUGUAACAUCAUUCCCCCCUUUGGAACAUUCGUCCUCGAAUGUUGUCUGAUGCACUUAUCACUCUCAUGACUCAUAGCUCUUGCAAAUACUUUAAUACUCUUCUUGCCAUUUAGGGAACUGUUCUAUAAUAAAUCCAAAGGCCAAGGCAUUUCCCCUUUUAGGUCUCUUUCUCACACUAUGACUUUUGGUCGGAAUUCUUUCAAUCUCGUUACUGUUGCUACCUUCGGUUAUGCAGCCUGUACGACUUUUUCCUUGUAUGUGCGCCAAUCUCUAGGCCUCUCUUUGGGAAUAUAUACAGAGCUUGAUAACAUGUCCCUAUGGGCAUCUGUAGGUAUACUGAAGUUCUUCGCUCGGUACUUUGUCGAACUUACGAAUAUUGUUGUACCUUAUUUCAAAGAUCCACUUAUCUAUUCGUAUGACUUUACUUCAUCUAGGUAGGUCAUACUAUACCAUAACUCUUACUUCGAUUUAUCGUUACUGAGCUAUGCUACCGAACUCCAGGUUACUUUCGUUGCUUAUCCCAUACAUAUAAAUCUAAGUCCUUUAAUGCUUCCUCAUUACUUGUUCAUCUUAAGAAUGACGGUCUAAUAUCACCUCAUACUUUGUGACUUUAGUCCAUCCAUUGUUGAUACACAUUAAUGUUGAUCUAUCAUCUACCACUGAUAACUUGAUCUCUUAUGUAACGCUGCUGCUAGGGCUUACAUCUCAUCAGGGACAUCUGGAGUAAUUAUAUUGAUCCACCUAUGAGCGAUACUAUACUUCCAUAACCAUAUUUUAUAGAAUCCCAAUAUGACUCACCUUACAUGGGUAUUUUAAUCUUGUACAAUUCAUUAAGUCCUCUUCAAGUCAUUACUCAAUUGAAGGCCCAAAUGUCAUCCUUUAUCUAUCACAAUCACACCAUCAUUCCACUCUAGAUGCUAUUAGUUUUUGAUUCCUUUGAGUUCAUUCGGGCUAUAUUGAACUUUCUAUAACUUAGAGAAACCAUUAGCCCUCUUGUUUUCAUGGGCUUAAUCUCGAGGAUUUAUCCAUUCUCGUCACCUUCUUACUUGCCUUUUCUCAUCCUUACUCCUGUCAUAAAACCUUGCCGUUUUACUAUACUUUAUCUUGCAACCUCUACGUAUCUAUUUAUACUAUUCGCAACCUUCCUUCAACUUUCUUGCACCAUAGAUUCCCUUAUGUUAUUCUAGAACAUCAAGCGAGACAUCACAUUGUCUCUAACUCUUCUUUACUCUCUUGGUACCUAGAAACUAUAGGCUGGAAGAUAUGCCACUAACGAUGCCGUUACCGUUCCUGGAUAUUGAAUCCCCCUGCUUCUAGCCUUUUAUUCGAAGUAUAGACUAUUCUCAACCUUCUGCUUUUGAGUAUCUCGUAUGUUGUUCACCUUUACCUUACUUACCUUAAAGUCUCACAUCACAUCUUCUAUCUCUUUCAUGACCUCCCCACGACAUAGGUAUAAUUCACAUCCACGUCUUAAACUUCUAUUAUAAUACAUGCACCUCUUUACAGAAUCUCGUGAGAUCUUUAUACUAUCUUCUUAUGAGGUUGGGACACUUUUAAUUGGCUUUAUCGUAGAGUCGUUAUAGAAUAUGGCUACUGUACUAUCUCUCUUGUACCUCUGAUAUUAAGAGCGGUUCUACAAUGUUCUCAAUCAUGAUGUCUAUAACUUCCUGGGUCCAAUAAGUAGAAUCCUAAUUUACUUAGUUGAUGUAAAUCUUUAGUUUCCUCUUCCUUCUGAUCAGCCUUUACGUAGGCUUAAGCUAUCUUCCGAUCUGCGGCUCAUAGCAUUUAGUUAUUACUUUAGCCUUUCAUGGACGCUAUGGAAAACCAUGAUACAAUCUUCUAAUGAUUCAAUCCUUUGUCUAGGACCUGGACCCAGUUCCUUCUUUUAACUUAUACCGGAGUCUUCUUGGCUGAUCAUUAAUUAAAUAAAUCUUUCAUUCUAUUUCAGCUUUCUUCAAACGUAAGCAAUUACUUUUCCUGGUCUUUUUGCCCCUUAUUGCGUGCUUAUUUAGCUUAUCUGAGUUCUCACGCAUGCCAAAAAUUUUGUGCAUAUCAUAUGGUCUCGAAUAUUUACUUUUGGUUUUGAUCCCCGCUCAUUAGCCAUGGUAGGUGCCACUUUCUUUUUGAGUGCAUACAAUUUUGUAGUGAGACGGUUGUUACACAACCAUUUCCUCUUUAGGUCAUUGUGCUUUGGUUGAAGCCUUCUUCCUUAUUUUCUCAACUAGUUUUUCAUUGUAGUACUUAGGGGGGAUCCUCUGACUCUUGUAAGGUUGUGAGCUUAUCAUAUCGUAUGCCUUACAAAAUUUUUGACGUUCUUCCUCGCCUAUAAUUACCCAUAGUUACUUGUCUCCACGCCCUUGUGCUUGUAGGGUUGCUUAUGAACUAAUAUUUUGACUGACUUCCUAGUGGUACUCUCUUUUAUUUCCGUAACACUCAUGCGGUAUCUUUAUCUACCUAACUCCUAUCCGAAUAUUUCUCAAGGAUCACGAUGUCAUAACUGCGAGGUUGAAUUCCCCAUAUUGGGGUUCCCUAUGUUUAUCUUGCACGAUCUAUUCAUUUGUCUGUAUCCUCUAUUCGAGCCAUAGCUAGGUUGUUUCUAAAUCAACUACUAACUACUUGUUGGCCCAUUCCCGUAUCAAUAUUCCACAUAAUCUUUCUUAGGUUAGUUCCUUUGUCUUAACUUACCUCUCACACUGGCUCCUUAUUAAUCAAUAAUAUCUCGGACAGGAACCCUUACUUCCUCUCCUUGACGUUGUGUUUACAUAAUGCAUUGUUAUCAUAGCAUAUCUGUAGGCUUUGAAUAAGUGCAAUCUCAUCCCUUUAUUAUUUUAUCGCAUUCCUCCUUUACCAUUCCAUAAUUACUAGAACCACUUAAUCCUGACUUAAUACCACAUCACUCCAUAUUCCCCAUUUAGGGAAGUACUAAUAUUUAGCGCUACGAUGAUCUACCAAUAGAUGUUUUACCUUUUCAUCAUUGGCGUCUUCUCACAUUAUCGUUGACCCUUACUUACCUUGCGGUAAUUCUUCUGUACCAAGGAUAACGAAAUUCCUUACUCGCGAGGGUGGCACUUAGUAUAAUUGGCACACAUAGUCCCUUAAGCUUAACUUUACUCACAUUGUUUGCUUUAGGGAAGUGUCUUCCUGAAUGACCAUUCUUUGAAUUUCUCAUGAAUCUUCUUCUGUUGUCCAUUCUAUUAUUGGUGGAACAAAAUUCGAAACUUUUAUCAUGCCGACUAUUAUCCAAUCACUCAGUCCCUAAUUCACUUUUAGUUUAUCUUGUUCACCAGCCCAUACUGAUUUCUAAUAUUCUGGGGUCUAACUUUUUCUUUCGGCAGUUGCGUUGGAGUCACGAACUUAUUUCUUGAAGUGAGGAUAUGACUUUAUGGCCUAUACUCUUUUGUUGUCUCAAGGCCUGUCACCUCUCCUCUUUUCCUUCACUUGACUAUAGACUCUGUAAUACUAUCAUCUUUUUGGACCUACCGUUGUCAUCCAAGUAUCAUAUCUUACUCUUAAUGCUUCAAAUCUUCAUUAGCUCUCUUUUUAUUUCCUGCUGAUAUUUCUAUCUAUCACUUUAUUCUGAAAACUUCAACAAGAUAUUCUUUUGCUUUUAGCUCCCCUUUGCUCCAUCCACUAGCUCUUCGGGUUGCCUAGCAUUAUCUCCCUACUAGAGACAGGAGCAAUAUUAAGAUAAUAUUUAUCCUUUCCAGACUUCCAGUGCUUAUCUUUGUAGCACUCAUAUCUAGCUGUACUAUUUUAGAGUGCACCAUUUAGGUGUCUCACAAGGAGGUCUAUUAGUACCUUUGUAAUAUCCUUCAAAAAUGUCAACUAACGCAAACCAUCCAUCCAUCAUUUUGUUUUACUCUAACCCCAGCCAGAUCCUGAUAUCAUGUCCUUCUCUUAAACCAUAUCUAUCAGCUCUCAUAGGGCAUGAUUGAGAUAGGUGUGGCCAAUUGUACAUACAUUUGUUGUUGUUGUUGAAGAUAACUCAAAAUGCUUAAAUCUCUCUACCGGAAUUGUAGAUAAAAUUCAUCCUUACUAACUGGGUACCCCGUACCCUCUUUUACCUUGUUUCUUGUACUUAUUGAAACAUGUACCUUUUGAUUCUCUCGUCACUUUUUACCGCAUAGGUGGAUAGAUAUUCAUGCCUUAGGGCUUCUUAUCAAGAAGCUUACACCUUUUAAUAAACACAUAAUCUGUUGAAGAGCUCACAUUUACUCAUUAUAAGCAUGAUGCAAAAUCGAGUUCCUCUAACUCAACACUUCCACAGCUAUAUCUCUUACCAACCGUCUUUCUGAAUGUAGGCAUCAUUGUAAUACGAGUAAGCUAGAGUUUAGGAAAUUGAGUUCUUACAACUGAGCUCUACCACACGAUCUAGAGUAAGAAGAAAGAGUGACAGUCCUAAAUACCAUGUAGCCUCAUGCUUAUAAGUAUGGUCCACGACAUACCCAUAAACAAGACUCUACUAGACACGGCUUGUAGACUCCCUAGGAUAGAACUGCUCUGAUACCACUUUUGUCACGACCCAAACUGAUAGGCCGCGAUGGACACCCGGUACCUUACUCAACCGAGUACCUACGUAACGUAUCUUUUGUAUCAUACUAUCAUAGGUAAAUGAGAUAAAGAGGCUGUCGUGAGAUAAGUAGAAUAAAACAUGGGGAAAAUACUCAACAUUGGACGACCCAACAUGUAAUCCAAACUCAUACAUAUGACGUACGGGCCUAUAAGGCUAUCAUGAUCCUUUAUAUACUCAAAACAUAGGCCGACAAGACCAUACAAGUAUUUGUAUACAUGACAUCUGUCUACAAGCCUCUAGAAAUACAUAAUAUCAUAAAGGUUGGGAUAGGGCCCCGCCAUACCAAUCAAUACAUGUACUAAUCAUACUGACCAAAUAGGCAACUCCAGAGCAAAUGGAGCGCACCAACACCUUUCACUGAGUUGAUAGCUUACUUGGAGGGCUCAUAACCUGUCUAUCGGGACCUGUGGGCAUAAAACGCAGCGUCUCCAGGCAAAAGGGACGUCAGUACGAAUAAUGUACCGAGUAUGUAAAGAAUGAAAAUCGGUAAAUAAUAGACAUGAAAGAAAUAUGGAGUAAAAGACUCGACAUGUAAGUCUGAAUAACUCUGUAAAUCAUGAAAUACUUAUAGUGUCAUGCAUAUACGUAUGAAUGUCAUGUCGUACAUAGGUACAUAUGUUCAUAACAUCAUCAAGCCUCUAAUGGCAUCCCAUCAUAUCAUCUCGGCCACUGUGGGCAAAAUUAUUAACGUAUACCAGCUGCUCAGGUGGUAUUGUGUAUAUAACGAUGUAACCUUUUUCCAUAUCCUAUAUACAUAUAAUAUACAUAUAUAUGCGUAUAUAAUGUCAUCUGGUCAUGGGUCAAUGUAUAUGUAUAAAUGAAUGCAAUGCAUGAAAAGUACGUCAAUAAAAUCUUUCAGAAUGUCAUAAGACUGUUAUGCCUUUAAGUAAUAUCAUGAAGUAAACUUUUUCAGCUUACGUAUUUUUUUGAAACCUAUGAACAGAUGAUAAAAUAAUAGUACACAUGGGAAUUCAAGAACAUAGGCAACUCUAAUACUUCUAUGAAUAGAAUCAUUUAUGAAAGUUGUGAAUUUUCUCGUUUCGUUUGUAUCGCAUAGAUCAUGCCAAAAGGAAAAAAAAAAAGGUUGUCUUAACAUACCUGAACGAAUACUAUAUAUUGAAUGAGAUUCAAUAAUGUGGGUAAGGAUACUAUUCUGUUGGUAAAAAAAACAAGUCCGAGCAAUUCUCACAGGUAUGAGCUACAAUACAUAAAUGAUGGUUCAAAUAAGUGGAAGAUGAAAUCAAAAUAGAGGAUAUCAUUUAGGAUAUGCAUGACUCUAAUCUCCUCAACCGAAGGAUAUGAAGUGAAACGGAUGCAUUUUAAGAUCAGGCUAAAGUUGAGUACGUCUAAGAUUCAAAAUAAGAUUCUUCAAGAAUAGACAAAUUAAUAAUUAAAUAGAACAAGGAUGUUACUGAAACUAAAGAACUUACAACAUCUGGAUCACUAAUCAAUGCAUUCCAAUCCUUUGGUUUAAUGUACUUGCCAAAUCUUACCUUUCUAAUCUUGCCACAUAACAUGAUAACUUAAGAGUCACAAUUCUUUGGGGUGGCUUGUUGCCGCGUGGGGAGGGUCCUAUCUACUCAAUUCUUUAAUUACCCACAUUUUAAUUAAUCUCCCACUAAAAAUUAUUAAUUAUCAAAUUAUUCAUAUAAUUAAGAAUUAUCUCAAAUUACUUAAAAUACCACUCACUUUUAACACACUUUAUAUACCUUACUAUCAUGGUCAUGUGGUACAUUGUAUGGCACUAGCCCAUGAAUACGGGGUAUUAUAGCUUGGACAGUUUUAUCCCCAAAUUGCCAAACUUCGACAGAACUCAUUUUCUUCGAUUCGCUUACCCUCUCACCUUCGUGAAUUAACUUAUCAAUUGUUUGAAAUAGCGUAAUACUUAUAAUCCCAAAAUAAAUCUCAUUCCCGAACUUACGUCGAUUAACUUACGAGGAAAUUUUAGCGUACGAAAACGCAAAAUGUAAUAUCUCAUUUCCGAGCUUCUAUCAAUUUGCUUAUGACAUACUUCCAUGUACGAAAAUAUGGGGUGUAACAUAAUAGAUUAUUAUAUGGUGAAUAAUAAUGCAAAAAUUAUUAUGUAGAGAAUAAUUACUACAUGGAUUGCUAGUGGAGAAUAAUUAAUGCACGAAUUGUUAUAAGUUGAAUAAAUAAUACUCUUAUUUAGAUGAGGUAGUUUGACUCGGCAUAGAGUUUAAGAAAAAAAAAUAAUAUUUUUGAAAUUUGUGGUAUUAAGAGCUUAAGGGGUAAAAGUUUUGUGAGACCAUGAUAUUUCUGUGGUUAUAAAAGCUUCUCAUUAAGGAUAAAAUGGGUAAAAUGAAGAGUUUAAAGUUGAAUUCUUUUCUAUUAUAGAAGCUUUCUAUCUUUAUAUGUUUUUAUUCACGUAUAGCUAAUACAAAUAUCAUUUUUACCUUUUAUCUCGUUUCAUAAAUUUGCACGUAGUCGGCAAUGAGUUCUGCCCCGUAAAGAAUACAAGCUUAGUUUUAGCGCAGAGAAAAAAUCGAGAGCAAGAUUUUGUGUAUUUAUCGAAAAAUUCUAAGAAGAUUAUCCUUAAAAAAAGUUUUUUUUUUCUUUUUGGUUCCACGAGCUGAAUCUUUGUAAAUUAUGUGUUCAGUGAGGAGGACUGAAAAAGAAAAUUUUCUCUGUUUUGUUUCUACAUUCAUUACACUGGAAAAGAAGUUUUUCUUCUUUAACAAGAGAAUCGAAUAUGAGACUCUGGCACAUCUUUUCUUCGAUUGUACACAUACUUUCAACAAGUGUGGCAGUCCUGCAACCUUUGGUGCCAUUCAGUAUUGGAAUAUAUUGGCGCCGCUCAUUCAACUAGUUAGUAACAUUUUCUUUAAAUCAGACGUUUAAUUUGUACUUGUCCUAAAUGAAACAGUCUAGUGCUUUGGAAAGUUCCUCUAAGAUCAUAUUUUUAUUAUCAAAAAUUCAUAAUCAGUAGGGCACCAACAUCUCUACCAGCAAAGGCAAGAUCAUAAUUUCCUGUGUUGUACAUUCCACUUUAAGAGUUCUAUGAGCAUAAGUGGAAUUAGUUGUGAACCAUACCUAUAUUAAAAUAGAAGGUUUCAAAGAAAGAAAUAAGGUCUAGAAUGAGAGCAACAGGCUACAGGGAAUACUUCUAAUGAUGGAAAUAUAUAAGGAUCCAUAGGAAGGAUUUCGACGGGUCUGAUGUGAGACCAAUAUUUGUGAUAGUUUAUUUACUACUACUAUUAUUGAUAUUAUAAUAAAACAGAUUAAUUACUGUUAAAAGCAGUAAGCCUAAUAUCAUAAAGUCCAUAUUUAAGUAAAAGAGCUAGUGGUAGAGAUUAUUAUGGGUAACAAAUGGAUCGUUUGGGUUGUAUUUGGACUGAUGAUUUUUAAUGGAUUAACUUAGGCUAGCCCAAGACAACCCAUUUCAAAAUCGUUCUUGCCCAAACCCAUUUAAACUUGGGCGGGUCAAAUGGGUUUGGGUUAGUUUUGUCACCUCUAGUAGAGACAUACCAUCCACAGCGGCGGAUGCCGCCUUUGUACUGCCGGGUCAACCGAACUCAUUAAUUUUGACACAUCAUUCGAACAUAAUGUAAAAAAUUUCCAAAAUUAAUAAAUACUAAACUUAAAUCCAUAAUUUUAAAAGAACAAUAAGUUACAAUGAUCAAACCUUCAAAUUUAAAUUCUGAAUUCAUCUCUAACGUAGUACGACUCAACCAUGCCCUAAUAUGGCAAACCCUCAUGUCUUUUCUCACUUAUCAUUUCUUAAUCUCAAGGUAGGCCACACCCCCUUCCCUUAAAGCUAAAAUUUAAUCAUUCUUUUCUUUUCACCUCCUCCUAAUAAGCAUCUUUUUAUUUUCUUAAUGAUUUGCUUAUUACUUUCAAAUUCAGCUUCCGAUCUAUCUCAAGCAAAUGUAACUUGUCUGGUGUCUUCCUAUGAUAUUGGUGAAUGAUUUGCGUCAUGACCCCAACAAGAUCCUCUCUUUUUCAUUAGUAUAUUUGCCUAUUAUUUUGACAGUUUAUAAAAUUUCUACGUAUUUACACAUGCAAAUAUGUCUUAAUUUCCAUACGAAUAUAUUGGAGUACGUUUCCAUUUUGACUCUCUAACUAAUCCUUCAUUAGGGACAAGUUAAUUGUUGCUGAUUAAGGAAGUUUAAUUUUCUUGACAGUUGCAAAUACAAAUUAAGUGGUUUCUGUUUUGUUUUUUCCAGAAAUGACACCUGCUUCGAAUUACACCUUUUCUUCUCACCCGUUCGUUGGCUAUAAAUACAGAGGUGUGGCCUCAGAUUUCCCAUCGAUUUUUCGAACUCUUCUGUAUAUUUCCAAAAUAAGAAAAAGAGUUUGUGUCGUGUGAUUUGUUCCUGUCCUAACAUCCAAAUUAAAGUUUGCUGGAAUUUGAAAUACUAUCGCAAUUCCAUCAAAGGUAUAUCUAUUUCUGGGAUGAAAUAAUCCAAUACCUCGAAUAUUUUGAGGGGAUUAAACUCCUUAUAAGGACACAAGUGGGCUCGGAAUACUAAAGUUCUGUCUAUUCUAUUUUAUUUAUGUUUUCGAAUAGAGUAACUAACAAAAGAUUCACUAUCUUAUUAAGUUAGUUUAGUUUUUGACGUAGAGUUAGGUCCAAAUUCUUAAUUAUUGGUAUGAGUUUGUCCAUUUUAGCACCAUAAGAGGUGGACAAAAGCUAAUAAAAAAUUUAAGACGAAGGUCCAAAAAAAGACCAAAAUGAAACGCCAUUAAUUAAUAUACUGAAAGUGUGGGUUCAUGUAUUCAUGUUUAUAGUUGUCUAUAUCGGCAUCGCAAAUUUAAAAAAAAUAAUGAAAGAAGACGUAGUGAGGAGAAGAUAUAUUUGGGUUUUCUUCAAAAGAGUGUGUGUUGAAAUAUAUUUGUACUUAAAAGACAUUAAUAAGGGCUAACAUAUGAUACAACUACCAACAAUGUUUUACAAGAGCUUUAGAUAUAUUUAGUGGCUAAAAGAAUGAGUGCCUGAAAACUGAAUGCCUUUCAUAGGAAGCAACAAUCUGAUGAAAUUUGGAGAAAAUGAAAUGAAGGGAAAAAGUCUAGGAUCGGAAUCUCAUCAAGAAAAUGAUGUAAAUUUGAAAGAAAUGAAAUCUAAUGACGUAAAUCAUGCUACCUAGUGACGUUUGCCCAGGUCUUAAAAUUAAUUCUUGUCGAGAAAGCAAGGUCGUGACUCGUGAGUUAAUUGAUUUUCGAUACAAUCAUAUUUGGAUUAUUUUUUGAAAAUCAACGCUGGAGUUAACAAUACUUAUACAUGAUAUGCAGCACAACAUUAGAAAUAAUACAAAUAUUUCUAUUGGUAAGGCUAGUGUUAGACCCCUAACAAAGCUGAUCGGCAAGCGGCACGGCAGUGGCGAGGAUUUUGGCAUGAUGGUCUUGCCAUUGGCCUAUGUGCGGGGGAAAAUCAACAUGCAAGACAAUGCGGGAGUGUUGUCGAUGGCAACAAACUGUUGCUAAGGCAAGUGAGACGGACUACACUUGUAUUAGGGCUAAGGUGUGACGGACUACACCAAAGCAAGAGUGGGCUGCGUACAAGCAAGGCCAAGACCUUGACGGAACUAGGCGGGCUGAAUGGGAGCUUGAUAAGGCUAAACGGGAAAGACCUCGGCGCUAAAGUGAGGCAGCUUAGUGCCAAGGCAUUGGCAUUGGCAAUGUGAUGUUGCCAUGACUUAGGUGAGCGGGCUAGCACCUAAGUUAUUUGUGGGCAAACGACUUGGCAAAGGGAAGGGCAUCAAGGCUUGGUGACUUGAUGCUAAGAUCAGCAUUGACAACGGGCAGACUUGAUCAAGUAGGGGCGACUUGACAAGAACAAUCAACUGUGACAGCAGGCGGCGUGCAACAAACAAGUUCGUGGCGAUGUCAAGGAAAUUUAUAGCACAACGCAGCUGGAUAUAAUGGCGUUGGAGCUUGGCGCAAUGCAGCUGGAUAUAAUGGCAUUGGGCCGGUCCAAGACUAGACACGAAAUUGGGCAGCAGUUGGCCAAGAAAAUGCGCACAUGUGGUGCACAUGAUGCAGUUGGACGGUUACAACUACCCAUGUCCAGGAGUUGCUGAUUAUAUGGCUAAGUCUUUGCAUGUUUUUGGAGCAUGUUCUAUCAUGUUCCACACGUUUUGAUCAUGGGGAUCAUGUCCUAUCAGUUGGGGGAUGUCAACUGAACAUAGGAAACACUUUUGGGCUGACUACACUAUAUAUAUGUGUGUGUUAGCAGCCUUAAAAACGGGCUAAGUACCUAGGGAGGGAAAUGGUCUGAAAGAUAGGCAUAGGGUUGUCUAUUUUAUGGCUUGAGCAUGGCAAAAUAUGUGCUAUUGCCUUGCCAAACGAGUGGCAGCACGAGCGGCCUUAAGCAGGGGCUUUUAUAGGGCAGAUUCGUGCAAGUGUAGGCCAUUUUUGUGAGUUGGUGCCUGCCAAGGGUGGCAGCACCUUGCCUAACUCGAGAUUUUCCUUUGUAAUUGAUUUAUUAUAAAAGAUUGGGAAAGGGUUCCCGUAAAUCUGUGUUGCCUUUGUUUAUUCCUGUUGCCUUAAAUCUAUUCUAAGUGUUGAACCUCGAAAGCGAACGAAAAUUGGGUAAGGCUGAGGUCAAGUGGGGACUUGACUGCCGCACAGCGGGCAGCAUUUUCGGCGGACUGAAAACGCCCCUGUGACAGCUAGUAUGGUUGAAGUAUUGAGCCAGUUAGUGUUAAGUGUUUGUCCUGAUUUUCUUACUACAUUUGGUUUUUCUAUUCCUAGAAGGAAGUGAAACAUAUUUAGCAUAAUUGCUUUUACCUUUUAGGAAAAGGAAAAUAUAAUUCUUUCAUAUUUGGCUAAUUCUUUUUAUCAGAGGAAAAAGUUUUAACUUCUAUGAAUUAAUGAUCUUCCCUUCUCAUUUAACAGCAUCCACAAUGUAGCCAUAAGGGGUUUGAGAGUUUUGUUUAGGGGGGAGGGGGGAGUGUUGGCAUGUCACUUGUGUUUGCCUCUUUGUGAGGUUGUUUUCUCGGUAUUUUGCACUCUCUUUUAUAUAGUGGAUUGUCAUCUCCGCAUUUGGAUGUAGAUCAAUUGAUUGAACCACGUUAAAUGUUUGUGUCUUUUUAAGUAAUUUCAUUUUUGUUGUCUGAUUUGUCGUCGUUCAAUAUUUGUUUUACUAGCUUCCGCAUGACACCUGAUUAUUUUGAUCCUAAUUAGUUGGUCAAGUUGCCAGUAGUCCGACUUGGUUUUUCCUUUUAACAUCUUUAUAAAAUCAUACAGUUUCAAAUUCGUUCAUACAUCAGAUUGCUGGGAGUAAUAAUCAGUAUUUUAAUUUGCGAAUCAAUAUAGCAUAUCUCCUCGAUUUCUUUGAUUAUCUGAAUAAACAGAUUUGUUCAGGGAAUUCCUAACUAGCUAGGACUAGAAACCGAACAAAACGUUGGCCAAGAUUUUGAACAUUUAAUCUUUGCAGUUUCUUUUUACGAAACAAAAACCAUGGUUAAGCGGUAAAAAUAUAUUACAAUAUCAUCUAAUGUAAUAUAUGGGGAUCAGUAUAUAUUUUGAAAGAGGGGAGAGAGAUUCUGCUAACAUGGCGGCAUGAUAAUACACAUUGCAUGUACGUAGAUGAUGAAAUAAUUGAUGAAUUGGAAAAAAAAAUUGAUACAGGAAGUUGAUGGAACGUCAUUUCAGGGUUAGAUGGGGAAACAAGAGGCGAAGCAGCGAGGGCCCUAUCCACAAUUCUAAUGUCGGCUUAUAUAUUUUUUUGAAAUCCAUUCAUGGAGUAUUUAAAGGAAGGGAGGGAGAUAGAACUUGCUUUUACCAAAUCACAAGAGACUGCAAGAAAACAAAAUACUGAAAAAAAAAAUGGGGCAGCAUACGUGCUGCAACCAGCAAAAGGUUAAGAGAGGGCUUUGGUCUCCUGAAGAAGAUGAAAAGCUCAUCACAUACAUUACCACUCAUGGCUAUGGCUGUUGGAGUGAAGUUCCUGACAAAGCUGGUCCUCUCUUCUUAUUACUUCUUAACACUACUUUACUGACAUUUAUGCAAAGAAUAUGUAAUUGUUGAUCUCUUAUUUUUGUACAUGAUAUGAAUUUCCAUGUGUAAAAACCACGUUUGCCGGACUGAAAGCAUUUGGUGUAUUUGAUUUCAGGUCUACAAAGGAGUGGGAAGAGCUGUCGGUUGAGGUGGAUCAACUAUUUGAGGCCUGAUAUAAGAAGGGGAAGAUUUUCCCCCGACGAAGAAAAGUUGAUUAUCAAUCUCCAUGCUGCUGUAGGCAACAGGUAUGAAAACUUGUUUCUUGUUUCUGGAGGCUCUAACAUAGGAACCACCUCGUAAAUCAUCCUAACUGGAACUUGUAUGCAGCACUUAAACGGAGGUUCAUGCAUAAAAGUGUGUGAACUCUUUUUGUCUGAAUCUUAAAGACAGGAUCCCCUAUACCCUAUUCUUGAAUCCCUAGUCGAGCCCUAUCCGAUGUAUAUCCAUUUCCUUAUGUUUUUCAGAGGAAAAGGAUCCUUCUACCUGCCGCCCCCAAGUUAAAAGGUGUACGAAGCAUUCUAAGUUCACAUAGGAUUUUGGGAAGAGUAACAAUCCCAUUGGGCAGCCUAGCUAUCCUAAUGCAAGUAUCAAUGACAGAUUUCAAAAGAGUGUAAGAAUCCAAAAGAGUGUAAAACUCGUAAAUAUUUGUAGGCUAGCUUGGUCAUGUGCUAUGCUAGCUAAUAAUAUCUUCAUCUUCUUCUUUGUUGGACAGCCAAUUGCAUAAUUCUGAUUUUGGUCGGUCACAUUUUGAAAGAAACAUUUGGUAUGCAUAUGCAAAAAAUGAAUUCCGAGUAUAUUCAUUUCGAAGCAACAUGAAGCAAUGCCCUUCAAAGUUUCUGUUUCCCAUUUUUAAUUUUGGUUUCACUUUCUAAGCAAGUCUCAAUAUAUCUAAGAAAUCACGUAACUUAUUAUUGAUAGCGUAUAGCACACACAAAACUCAUCCAGACAAUUUCAUUAUCAAAGUAGUUUCUACAUGAGGCAUUGUUAGCUUACUGAUCUUGAGCAAAUCACACAAGUACAAUGUGAAGCCCUAGAGAGCAGAAUUGAGAGAGAAGAGAAAGAAGAGCUCAACUCUGUAUUUCAGUAGAAAAUAAAAAAUAGAGUCUUACUUACAUUCCCUAACAUAUACACAUAUCCUUCUAACCGCCUAACUAAUACACACGUGUACACUCAUGUGUGCUAAUUAACUAAUUAUACGAAUAAUAAUCUCUCCCUGCAUAUCAACAUUAACAUUAAUAGCCAACUAACCUAUCACUAACGGCUAAGGCUGUUAUGUAGUCCAGGCCCGGGCGUAAAUGGGCUAAACGGGCCGGGCCAAACGGUCAUGGGCUUAACGGUCCUGGAGGGUGGAACCGGCCCACUGUGGGCCUAAGCCCACAUGGGCCAUGGCUAAGUGGGUCGGGCCCACGGGCCUAAGUGUUCCAGGCUAUUUAUUUUUUUGAAAUUUUUUUAUCUAAGGCAAUUUCUUAUAAAUUAUAUUAUAUAAUUGUGACUUAAAUCUUCUAAUUCAAAUUUAAACAUAAAAAAAUUGUAAAGAAAUAUUCAAGGGAAUGCCAUAUAAUUUUUAUUAUUACAACAUUAACAAAAAAUGACAAUAUCUUUCUUAGUCUUCCUCCCCGCAAAAAAUGGCAAUAUCAUUUAGUUGUGAACUAUCACCAAUAUUAUCACCUUGAGAACCUCUGAACCCCGUCCAAGAACUAAGUGAUUUUAUGCCCUCAGUUCUUUUAGAUGAUUGUGAACUAUACGAUGUAGGAGUUGGAACAUUUGGUCUAGCAUGAUCUAAGGCAAGUUGAUAAUCAUUAUAAAUUGUUUGAGCAUUUAUUUUAAUUGAGGCUUUUGCAUCUGCAAGUGUAGCAAAUUUCUCAUCUGAAAGUGAUAAAGCCUUAUAAAUAUUUGUAUACCAAAAGUGAGGACCUCCUAAUUUUAUGGUAGGAUUUAACAUGGCAGCAACACCAUAAAUAUGGGGGAUAGGGAAAAAAUAUUUUUUAAACUUAUCUUUCAUAGAAUCAAUAGCAAGUUGAUAAAUUACCCCACCCUCUGAAAAUUGAGUAAACAAAUUUGCAAGUUCUGCAAUAUAAACUAAACAGUUAAAAAUAGUAGGAUAAUAUUGCCCAGAUAAUUCAUUUGUAGAAAUAUGAAAUUGUUCUAAAAAUCCUACAAGAAUUUUAACAUUAGUCCAAUCCUGAUUUGUAAGGUUCUCAUCAUCAUCAGUACCACCAACACGAGCAUUAAACGUUGUGUUUAUUGGGUUUCUAUAUUCAUAUGCAACAACUAAACUUUCAUACAUGUAAUUCCAUCUAGUCGGACAAGGUUUAGGAACCUUUCUUUCUCUAAGGCCAAAUUCAUCACAUUUUUUAAAAUAUUCUCUAAGUCUACUUCUACGGUUUGAAUAAAAAAGCCAAUUAAGAGCCAUUUUAACCUUUUCAAUUUCAACAUUUAAAAUUUUCAUACCAUCACCGAUGAUUAAAUAGUAAAUAUGACAAAUACAUCUAACAUGGAAAAAAUUACUAAAUGCAGGAUUUAGUGUAGUUGUAAGCAAGCCUAUGACAUUAGUGUUACUAGAAGCAUUAUCCAUUGAAACUGACAUUAUUUUAUCUCUAAUGCAAAAAUAUCUACAAAUAUCUGCAACUGUGUUAGCAAUAAACUUACCUGUGUGACGUGAAUUAAUUAUUCUAUAAGCAAUAAUGCACUUUUGCAUUAUCCAUUCCUUAUCAAUCCAAUGAGUGGUAACAGUAAGAUAAUCACAGUUAUUACCACUUCUACCAAUAUCGGUAGUAAUAGCAACGCGACAAUUUAUAUGAGUAAAUAAAUAGUGCAAAUAUUAUUCAUAUUCAUGUUUAUAUUUAUAAUAUUGCUCUUUAUGGUUGUGUGAGACCAUCCUUUAUAAGUAGGAUUAAAAACUCUUCUAAUAUAAUGCACAAAGUGAGGGUUAGAAAGAAAACUAUAGGGUAAGCAUAUAACAGUAACCAUUUUUGUCAAUUCUUCACGAUCUUUAUUUGGAUCGUAAUAUAAAAUACCACUGGUAACAGUAUUAAUUCCUGGUUGAACUAGAUUUGACCCGGUAUUAGAGUUAACCUGAGUACCUACACUUAUCCCCUCUUGCGCAGCUUUCAUUUGAAGAAAUCUAGCUUUAUCUUUAGGGUGUGUCUUUAUGUGUCUAGUCAAACUACCCGUACCGCUACGGUCUCCAGUAAAUUUAUGAGCCAUCAAAGUCCCACAAGUUUUACACUUAGCCUUAUUUUGAUCUCUUAAUUGAAUAAAAAAAGUACCAAAAAAGAGAUGUUUCGCACCGUCUAGAAGGUUGUCUAUUAAAAGUAGGGGUUACUACAGGAGGGUCAGGCGGGGCAUCAUUUGGAUUAUUAUCAGUUGGGUUAACAACAUGACUAGUAGGUGUAUCGUCUAAAUCCGGUUGGGUUUCACCUAAAUCAUCAUUUUCAUCGAUAGUUGAAUUACCAUAAAGAGCAUUCAUAUAUUCAUCAUUUAAUUGUUGACCUGGUGCAAUAUCAUGGUAAAAUUGACGAUCGGUAAAUUAAAAACAAGGGUUAUCACUAUCAAGAAUAACAGGUGGAGGAGGACGGAUAACAGGACUGGGUUGGGGAGCCGAGGGAGCAGUAGUAGCUUGGUCACUAGAUUCACCAAUUUUAGAUUGUCCCUUACCACCAAAUAUUUUUUUCAAAGAAAAGGCCAUAUUAAUUAUAAUUAUACAAACUAAAACAAACAAAACUAUAAUAUUAAAACUUAAGAGUUGGAACGAGUUUACCGAAUUGACGUACAACUUCUUGAAAAUUGUAUAUCGUUGAAGACUUGUAUACUUUAAUUCACCAACUUCACAUUUUUUCACAAACUGCAAUAAUAAAGUAAGCAAUUAUAGAAGAAAAUUAGAGAGAUAUUGAUCAUUUUGUGAGUAAAAAUAAAAGAAUGAGAGGGUAUUUAUAGUUGAGAAUAGGGAAAAGUGUAAUUAUAAAAAGUUUGGGGUUAAAAUAAAGUUUGGGAGACAAAUGACUAUUUUAAAAAAAAGCCAAAUGGCUAAAUUGGCAGGCUAACGGCUAGUUUUUAAACAUCCAGCCGUUGGCCAAUUUGAAAAAUAGCCAUUGGGCCCAUUAAGCCCGGUUGAACCGGCCCAGACUUGCCAGCCGGUCCAGGGCUAAACGGUCCCGGGCUCGCGGUCUCUCCAUAUUGGACUAGCCCACAGUGGGCUCCUAGGACCGCUUGGGCCCAGACCACAAUACAGCCUUACUAACAGCUCAUAUAAUCCCCAUUUCAUCACUCCCUCUCAAGUUGGUGGGUGCAAAGACAUUGAGAACUCCCAACUUGCCAACUAGAUACUCAUGAUGUGGUCUUCCUAAUCCUUUAGUUAGGAUAUCUGCUAGUUGCUCCUUUGAAGGGAUGUACUGAGUCUUUACUAGUCCUUCUUGUAUCUUCUGUCUAAUAAAGUGAUAAUCGAUCUCUAUAUGCUUUGUUCUUUCGUGAAACACAAGAUUUGCUGCUAUUUGCAUUGCAGCCCUGCUGUCACUAUAUAUGUGUAAUAGAAAUUUCACUUCUGCUCCUAACUCCCUUAGCAAUGUUGUCAACCAUACUACCUCUGAAACUCCACUUGCCAUGCUUCUAUAUUCAGCUUCUGUUGAACUCUUAGAAAUUGUAUUCUGCUUCUUUGAUUUCCACGAGAUUGGAGACUCUCCAAAUUUGACUAGAUAUCCUGACACUAACUUUCUAGUGUUAGGACAUGAGGCCCAGUCAGCAUUACAAAAGACACUGAUCUCACUUGAGUUUUGACUGCUCGACAAGAUUCCUAGACCUAGUUCCAGUUUAAUAUACUUCAUCACUCUUAUAGCUGCAUCCCAAUGAGACCUUUUUGGCUACUACAUGAACUGGCUGAGAGUUUGCACUGAGAAUGCAAUGUCUGUCCUGGACAUGGUUAAGUAUAACAACUUUCCAAUCAGCCUAUGAUAUUGGCUUACAUCCUCCAGCAUUCGGUCCUCGGUUGUCCCCAUAAGUCUGUCUAGUUCUGUAACUGUCAAUUUAACAUUUGUCUCUAAUAGAGUCCAGGCUGGUUUUGCUCCACUCAAUCCCAAGUCUGAUAUUAUCUCCAAUGCAUACUUCCUCUGAUUGAUCAGAAUGCCUUUGGUAGAUCUGCUGAACUCCAUGCCAAGGAAGAACUUUAGGUCACCUAAAUCUUUGAUCUUGAAGGCUUGUUGCAAGAAGAUUUUGGUGGCUUCAAUCAGCUACAAGUUGUUUUCUAUCACUAGCAUAUCAUCAACAUAUGUUAGUAUUAUCACUAUAUAUGUUCCUUUCUUCUUGAUGAAUAAGGAAUGAUCUAGGUUAUUCUGCUUAAAAUCAACCUGUAGCAAUGCCUUUUAAGUUCCACUGUUUGCAUGCUUGUUUCAGACCAUAGAGAGAUUUUACAAGUCUACACACCAAUCCAGACUCCUCCUGACUUAUAAAACCUUGUGGCAGAUUCAUUUACACUUCAUCAUGUAGAUCUCCCUGCAAGAAGGCAUUUUAGACAUCAAGUUGUUGGACUGUCCAAUUAUGCAUGGCUACUAAGGAAAGAGCAGUUCUAACAGUGGUGAUCUUCACUACAGGAGAAAAGGUCUCAUUGUAAUCAAGACCUUCUCUUUGACUUUGUACACCCAUUUACAGCCUAUAGCUGUCUUUCCUUGAGGUAGAUGAACUAGUUCCCAAGUGUUGUUGUCUUGUAGAGCUUGAAUUUCAGUUUUUAUGGCUUCUACCCAUCUAGGGUCCUUAGAAGCUUCCUGAAAAGUUGUAGGCUCAACAAUUGAAGAAAAUACUCCCAGGUAUGCCUGAUAGGAAGAUGAUAGCUUAGUAUAAGUGACAUGAUUGUGUAUGGGAUAUAAGACAGUGUUCCCUGACUUUCUUGUGGUCACAUAAUCUAUCAACCAGACUGGCUCGUUUGACUCCCUUUGUGACCUUCUUAAGGUAUCAUGAUGUGUCUAUCCUCCAUGAUGAUUAUGAAGUGAUGUAGAUGGCGCUUCUGAAAAUAUGCCCACUGAGUCAAUGACUAUAGGUGAAGAACUACCGGUGGUUGUGUGAUGUUGAAUUUCAGAAGGUAUUGUGUUGUGCAGAUAUUGGUUCAAAGUUGUUUGAGGGCUAUGUAAUAUCAUAUGUAGGAUUAUCUUGAACAUGUAGCUGCUCAACAAUUAGAACACCAGGCUCAUCUGCAUCUGUACUUUCAAGACUAAAAACAUCAGUAAUAACAGGCUUGACUUGGUUCUUAAGAUCACCAGUUGUAUCUUGAAAAGGAAAUGUAGAUUCCUUGAACACCACAUCUCUGUUGACAAAGAAUCUAUCCCUAUCCAAGUCAUAUAGGAUAUAUCCUUUAGUAACAUCAGAAUAUCCCAUAAAAACAACUCUAACUGCUCUACUAGCAAACUUAUCAGUUCUAGGUAGCACACUUGCAAAACAAAGACAGCCUAAUAUUUUCAAGUGAGAAACUGAUGGUUUCCUAUUAAAGAACACCUCAUAUGGAGACUUAUGAUGCUGCUAAAAUACAGUGUCCCCAGAAUUUCAUAGGGAUAUGCCCUUGAAAUUUGAAUGCCCUUGCAACUUCAAGCAAAUGUAUAUGUUUUCUCUCUACUAUACCAUUUUGCUAUGGUGAAUAAACACAUAUUUUCUGAUGAACUAUCCCCAUGGAUGUGCAUAACUCCUGCAUAGCUGAAUUUACAAACUCUCCACCAUUGUCAGUUCUAAUUGUUUGCACUUUUCUAUUGAAUUGUGUUUGUAUCAGCUUAAGAAAUGAUUUAAAAACAAUCAUGAUAUCACUUUUGAAUUGCAAGAGAAAAAUCCAAGUCACACGAGAGUAAUCAUCUACAAUUGUGAGAAAGAACCUAUUACCAUCAAAAGUGGACACACUGCAAGGUCCCCACACAUCUAAAUGUAAUAGCUGAAAAACAUUAAUAGUUCUAGGACUACUCAAUGGAAAAUACUGUCUCACAUGCCUAGCCAUUGGACAUACAUCACAGUUAUCUAUUACAGAUUUGCAAUCCUCCAGCUUAUAUCCUAGAAUCUCUUUCAAGGAUCCUCCAGAUGCAUGUCCUAAUCUUUUUUGCCAUAUAGUUAUGUCCUCAUUUGUUGUCUAUAUAUUUAACCCUUUGAUUGUUGGUAUGCUUUUAUUAGUGUUUAAGCAAGCUCUUGGAACUAGUAGGUAGAGCCCAUCCUUCUCUUUACCAAUCCCCCUCACUUUCCCACUUGAGAGGUCAUGGAAUAGCAAAAAUCAGGAUAGAAAGAGACAAAACAAUGUAAGUCCCUUGUUAUUUUUGAUAGAUAAAGAAGAUUAUAUGCAAACUCUGGGACAUACAAUACAUCCUGCAUCUCCCUUGUUUUUGUGAUCUUAUAGUUUCCAACAUGUGACACAAUAGUACGUUCUCCAUUAGGUAAGUGAACUCUCUUGUCU